GGAAUCUUGCUCCCUCAUAGAGUUUUAGUAAUUGAUCCUUCACCGGAAGCAAGAAACUGGUGUAAGAUUCUGUUAGCUCCAUAAUAAUAUGUAAAAGAUGAUCAAUAAAUUCGGCCACUAGGUGCUUAUUCUUCUCCAGGGCUAAAGUGUGUGAUGAUGGUGACAACUUGGAAGCUGUCAAGACGUGGAUAUAAGUUUCUCGGACUUGGAGAUCAACGGGAUCAAUCUUCUUUUGUAUCAGUUGAGAAAUUUCAGAUUCCAUCUCAUUGCACACCCGUUCAUCAUUUCUCUGAAACCAAGAUGUAGAGAUCAGGCUUGCAGCAUUAAUGGCCACAACUUCAAUGUGAACUAACAGAUCUACUAAUUGCUGACCCUUAACACCUUGUAGUGUUGCAAAGCAAAUGAAACUCUUCAAGAACAUUAGCUUCUCUUGAAGGGUUCCCAUUACACUUUGCAGAGCUGCAUCAUCCCUGUAAUUUCUGGUGCAAAGACGCCUCAGAUUCUCUAAAAUGGAAUCGAUGAUAUCCAUAACCAGUUGUGAAUCUCCCAGCAAGUAGUAAUGCAAUAAACUAACGAUGUUUAAUUCCUUGAUAUCUGAAUCAAAAAUCAACCGAAUAUUGCCCUCGAAUCUGUCGAGCUGGCAUUUGAAGUCAUCAGGCGAUCUACGUCUACCGAACUGUCAGACUCAGCAUCACCCCUGUCCUCCUUAUCAUAUUCCAAACACAUACACUCUUUGCUUCUCUUCCUCCUAAAAUUUCUAAUAUACAGAUCAAAGGUUUCCAAUAGACUUAUCCCCAUGUUCAGCUCCCAGAUAUGAGAUUUGAACAGACCUUUGUACCUAGAGUCUAAGUAGUCCAGAUGAUUACGAGCAACAUCGAAGCAACUAGUGCUGCUGCUGGAGGAGAUGUUCCUCAUGGUACCUGCUUUUCACUCAGAAAUGAGAUUUCUGCCUAUUGUAGCCAUUGAUAUUCAAGAUCAACAACUUUCUUAUUAUCUAACAAUAUUCACAGUUUGCCAUCAGGACUCUAUCUCUCUGUUUUUUUUUCCCUUUUUUCUUUUUUGCGUGUGGCAGGGUGGUGCUAAAAUAUUGCAAGACUUUACCCUCUUCCUCUUGAGUCUUUGUCAAGGGAAGUUCGCAUCGAUACAACAGGCAUAAGCUGUUGGGGUCCCCAUAUCAAAGAUUAAAGCAUUAGAGACGCAUUCAGCUGAGGCCUGAUGGCUAUGUAAUUUGCCACAACCUUUUUUACCGCAACAAUAUUUUUUACCACAAAACGUGAAAGGCAAAAAAAUAGAUGAAAGAAAAUCAAUCUAUACUACUGUAGUUUCAAUCAAAUGCGAAUAUGGCCAGCACUAAAAAUGAACAAAAUGAGAAAUAUCAAUUAGAUUAGCAGUCAGAUAAACAAUAGAAAAAUCAGAAGAAAAUGAUCCAUGGCUAUUGUUUAAGAAUGUAUAACUAAAUGCAUUUAAGGAUUUAGAGACAAUUGUUUUAAUUGCCAAUGUAUGUGAGUGCUGAUGCUUUAAUGCUUCUUUUUUUUAAUUUGGCAACUUCUCCAAAUUUAAAAAGUUGUAUAAUAAGAAUAACAAUUUUACUCCUUUUCCUGUGUGAGAUAACUUGAGCCUGUAAACCAUCUAAAUCAUUUUUUCUUUUUUUGGUUUUCUACAUGCACCGAGAAAUAAUAAUAACCUACAAGUACGAAAAAUCUUGUGAAGUGAAGACAAAUAUUAAUAGGGCAAAUUAUACUUUACCCUCCUGUAAUUUAGUUUUUUUUUACAUAACCCUCCUAUGGUUUAAAAAGUUAUAUAUAACCCUCUCAUAAUUUGAAUUAAAGUGUCAAAGUGACGGAAAUGAUCAUUGUAAUGGAAUCACAUAAAAUAUCAAAAAUACCCUUAUGUAAAGUUAAAAAUUAUUUAUUAACCAAGGGGGUUAUGUGUAUAUUUUAAAAAUCAUAAGAUUGUUAUACGGUAAAAUAUUAAAUAAUAAAGGGAUUAUAUGGUAAAACAUAAAAACUAUAUGGGGUUAGUGUGUCAUGUAUUUAUAAGGUAAUUUCGAUAUUUUUAAAAGUUACGAAUGACUAUUUCGGUUAUUUUGACAUUUUAAUUCAAAUCAUGACAGCGUUAUGUAUAGUUUUUAAAUCAUAGAGGGGUUAUGUAGAAAAACACUAAAUCACGUGAGGGUAAAGUAUAAUUGGCCCAUAUUAAUAUCAUAGUUACUCAUCAUAUCAUAUCACAUGAAAUUCAGUCACAUAAUUGCUUCACCUAAAAUCGAUAGGUCACGGGUUCAAAUCAUCAUGGGAUUAAGUGAGACACCACUAUUAAAUCCUCUUUUAAAAAAAAAAAAAAACUUCAGUACUUUUAGCACUGUAUGUAUUCAAAUCAAAAUUUAAUUUAUCUAAUGCUGAGUCAAAUAAAAAAGCUGAAAUUUCCUCCUAUUACGUCCCAGGCAUAAGUGAAGCGAUGAUAUGCGAGUAUGAAGUGUCAAGAACACAUGGAAGCCGUGUACAUUUCAACCACAAAAUAAUGUGUGGAAAAAAGAAAAGAAAAAGAAAUUCAGCACUUACUUUGGAGAGAAUGAACGCUAUGGCAACAAGUGAUCUGUUGAAUCUGCAGAAAUUUCAUUUAUAUGGUGAAGCCACGUUUAAAAAGAAAAACUUUAAACUUAAAAAAAAAAAAACGAAAUUCAGCACUCACUUGAGAGAAAAUGAAAUCCCUGGCAAUAGCUGGUGAUCUAGUGAAUAUGCAAAAAAAUUCCCAGUAUAUCUUGCACCUACUCACUCAAAAUUAAGUUCAAGAAAAAGAAGAACACUCCGAGGAAGAUGAAUGAUUUCAACCAAAAUGAAAGAACUCGAACAUGCAAGACUUUUUGCAGUGAGCUGGUCCAAAGUCAAUGUAACGGACAUAGUAGUCCUAGUAGCGGUAGGUUAGGACCUAUGUUUUCAGAACCGGACCAGAUAGUGACUCGGCCGAGGUCAGGGGUCAGGGGUCAAUGAGUUCGACCGGGGGUCGAUAGGGGUCGAAUCGGAUGACAUCAUAAAUAAAAAUUAUUUAAAAAUUAAAAUAUUAUAUAUAUAAUAUCUAAUAAUAUAUUGAUAUUAAUAAAGGUAUAUUCAUAUAUAUUUGAUGUUUCAAAUAUAUUUAACAAGAAAAUACAAAGAAAUUAGAACAAUCAAGUAGCAAUUUAUAUUAUUUAAUAAAUAUUUACAAGUUUAGAAUUCAAAUUAUGAAUUUAAUUGAAUAAUAACAUCAAAUUUUAGGACAAUAUUUAUAAAGUAUUAAAUAUUUGAGGUAUAUCAACAAGUUUUAACAAUUUAGGGGGUCAAAACAUAAUAUUAAAAAGUUUGAAUUUUUUUUUUUAAAAAUUACUGUUGAACCGGAAAAAUCGAUUUUUUUCAGGUCAAACCCGAUUUUUGACCGGUUUUGACCGGAUUUUAAAUUUUCGAUUUUUUAAUAUGACUCGGACCGGCUAUCUGACCGGUUUUCGGUUCGACCGACCGAUCCGGUCCGAGUUUGAAAACAGAGGUUAGGACUCACUAUUUUUAUUAUAAGGAACUCUCUUUGAUUUUUGAGUGUGUGGUGGGGAGGGAUGGUGGGCGUGAAACCUUAUCCUGACAAGAUGCUGUGUUAAUCAAGAAUUUGGCAAGUGCGGUAGAAGACUUUGACGUGUGUGGUAGAAUACCGUGUUUGCUAUAAAAUUUUCCUUUGCAUACUUUAUGUAAUUAUUGGUCACUCUAAGGUGGAACAUGCAUGCUAUAUCAGCGGGCUCAGAUUUCACGAGAACUGUCGACGGAUAUUGAGUUAAUCAAUCUCAGAAAUUAGUAUAUUUGGUGUAAGUUCGUAGAGUUUUGAUAUAAUUUUAAAUUUUAUACAAAUUUAGUUAUAUGACGUGAUAAAUUUAAAUUUACAGCCGAUUUGGACGAUUUUACACCAAAAGAGGAAAGAACUAGACCAAUCGGUUGGAUUGGACAAAUUCCAGCUUAUGAGACCUGUGAUAUAUAUAUAUAUAUAUAUAUAUAUAUAUAUAUAUAUAUAUAUAUUUAUAUGAAGUAUGGUUUGGCUAAUUGUUACCUGUUGAAUAUUUGAAAGAGUGCUUAAAUGCAAAACAUAUAAUAAUUGGGAUUGUGUAACGAAUAUCCAUGCCGAUUGGAAAAACAAAACCAUAUAACUAUAAAUAUAAAUAAAUAAAUAAAUGAUUGACUAUAUAUAUAUAUAUAUAUGUUUGUAUGUAUGUUUGUAGUAAUAUGUUUGGAAAAAAAUCCGAAUUCAAAUUUAUGCAACUUUCGUAUGAUCUAACAACUAUAACACAUUGCCAUCAAGAUUCUCUUCUUUUGCGUACACGCUACCUACAAGGAUCUCUUUUUUGCUUGUGUGGUGGAGAGGGAUGGUGGGGCAUGGUACGCAUAAAUAUCGCAAGAAUUUUCCUUCUUCCACAUGAAAUUUUUUGUGUAUGUGGUGGGGAGGGAAGAUGGUGGGGCGUGGUACUAAUAAAUAUUAUAAGACUUUUCCUUCUUCCACUCGAAACUUUAUCAAGAGAAGCUGUGUUAAUCAAGGCUUACAUGCGUGGUUGAUGCGGUAGCAAAAGCAUAAAAGUAGAAGGGGUUUCAUGAACACCUUUCAAAUGACAAUCAUUACACGAAUGAAACCCAGCAAUAAAUCAAAGAUUCAUAAAAAUAAGAGAAAUUUCUCAAUAAUUUGAUAAAACCAACAAUAUUUGAAUUACUAGAAGGAAAUUCUUUUUACAAAAGCCCUAAAGAAAAUAAUAUGUAAACUUUUAAACAAAUCAACUACGUAUCUGGAUGCAUUUAGGAUCCUCAUUGACACAUUUAGUACUAAUACUAAUAUUAUUAAUUAAAAAUAAAUAAAAAUAUAGAAAUCUACCCUAAUUAGAAUUCUAAAUAAAGUAUUAACAAUAUAGAUGAAGAAUUCCUGAACCCAGGGACCCUCUAAAUAUAUUGGCAGUAUAGAUGAGGAAUUUCUGAAACCAAGGUCCUCGUUGUGUAUCAGUGGUAGAAGACUUCUGUGUGAGUAAGCAGACUAUUUUUGCUCCUAAAAUUUUUCCUUUGCAUACUUCUUGUAGUAUUACUGGUCACUAUAAGAUGGAACAAGCAUACUAUAUUUUUCCUCUGUAUACUUCAGUAGGCUUAGAUUUGUUUUCCUCCUAAAAUUUUUCCUUUGCAUACUUCAUGUAAUAUUACUGGUCACUCUAAGAUGGAACCAGCAUUCUAUAUCAGUAGGCUUAGAUUUGUUUUUCUCAUAAUGACUCUUAGAAGGAUAAUCAUAUGUUGCCGCAAUUUCGCAAAAACUGUUGACUGGCUACAUGAGUAUAUGAUGCAUAUUGAGUUAAUCAAUCUCAGAAAUUUUGAUGUACAAAUGACUAGAAAUUAAAGAUGCAUUCAGCUAAGGGACACUUUCUAAGACCCAUGGCUGCCAUUACACAAGUACAAAUAGGGAUCUUUUUGAAAUAUAGCAUAGGUGAACAGAAAGUUCCAUGAAUUGGGAAUGCAUACGAAAAAAUGAAGAAAUCAUAGAUGAUAACUCAUUUUCUCAUUUCGAGUACUUGACUCUUGAAUUGAGACCAUUCCGCUAUUAAUCUAUGUUCUUGGCAGGCAUUGUUUUACAGUGGUAGCACCUGGGACAAGGAGCAUCACAUCACAUAAAAAAAAAUAAUGAACAUUGUAUCAUUGGUACAAAAUAUUUUUCAAGAAUUACUGUCGCGCCCCAUUUUUCGCGAUGGAAAAGAAAGUGUUUAUAAAAAGAUAUGAUUUAUUAAUAAUAAAUGAAAAAGGAUCUAGAAUGGAACUUAAAAAAAAUGCGAUAAUUUGGGUCCAAAAUUUAGUCUAAAAGGGUUUUGAAGAAAAAUUAGAAGUCUCCACUUGGUAUCGAGUUUGGGUGUAUCAAGUCACCCAAAAAGUGUUUUUAAAUAAAAUAAAAUAAAACCCUUUUCGACAACUCCAGGUCUUUGAAAACAGAGAAAAUGAGUUCGGGAGUCACGGUUGAAGAAAGGGAAGGCAAAGGUUCAAUUAUCUCAAACCUAAGGCACCCUUUCAACCUAGUCUAAGCUAGUUGCAUGGUUUAGUCAAAAUUUUCUUAAUCUAACCCUUAAAUUUAUCACAUUUGGAUGUUUUCUACAUGGAUGCAAAUCUAAAUUUAUAAAAUAUCGAAAGGGACAAAAUAUCCAUUCAAGGAUUUAAUUGAAACAAUCGCAUUAAUUGCGAAGGCCAAAAUACUUCUUUGAAAGGGUCACGAGUAUGCAAAUGAUGAAAAAAAGAAAAGUAAAGAAAAGAAAUUAAAUUAUAUACAUAGAUAUAAGUAAUCAAAGAAAAAAGGGAAUGCAACAUAAAGGGUAUGGGAGGCAAAAACUUGUGACAUAAUUUUCUUAUACAGGGAUUAAUGGAGUAUUUAAACUAAAAAAUUAUAAUCAUCCAUUUUCCAUGUUUGAAAAAUAAUUCCCCUAAUAUGACCAAGCAAAUGAACCUACUUAUCAUACAAUUUCUUAAAUGAAAUGCAAUUCUAAGUGAUAUGAUUAACACAUAUUGAGAAUAGGGGAUAAUAUAAUAGGGAAUAUCAUGCAAAUGAGAAAAGAUUCUAAAAAUGAAAAUAUGCCUGAAAAUGUAGUGAAUAGCACACAAAGAUGAAUCUAGCGCAAGACGACCUAAAAGGUCUAGUGUUGGACUAGCCAAUUUCUAGAAAUCCUUACUAACGUUGGACUAGCAAGUAAGCGGAGGGAGAAGCCACAACUAGCGUUGGACUAGUGUGGUGACGUCAUGCAUUAACAAUUCAUAGUGAAACAAAUAAAGCAUAAAUGAAAACAAAUAAACACAUAAGAGCACGUAGCACAUAACACGUAAACAUAAUAUCUAGAUGCCAAAAUCCUAAGAAAAGCGGAUAAAACACAUAACAUAUAAACCACAUAAACACGCAACCUAUCUAUUACAUCGGAGAAUCUAACUACAAUCUAAAAUGGAAAAGAUAUGAUAAAAUAAAAUUAGCUAUCCUAUCUAUUACAUUUUUGAGAUAUUUAAAUGCCUCUCGAAUAAUUAUAAAAAUUAACUAAACAAAUAUAGUAUAAGAAAAUUUAAAUGAACAUUUAAAUCCAAUAAAUAAAACAUAUAAAAAUACAUAAACACAUAGGAACACAUAAGAGCACGUAAUUGACAUUGAAAUAAUAAAAAUAGGGGUACCUCCCAUUUGAAGUGGUGACUAAAUGGAGUCAAAUUGUCCUAUUUAUACUCACAAUGAACAAAAGAAUCAUGACACCAAUUUAAUUGAAAAAAGUAAUAAUAAUAAUAAAAAUUCACCUUAAUAUGUCAAACGUAAAUAAAUUUAAGAAUAUCUAAAAAUUACAGGUUAAACAUACUCAAAAAUAGCAUAAUUAGCUAUUAAAGAAGAGAAGCAAUCAUAAUAAAGAGAGUCAAAAUUCAUCAGAGACUGAAUUGCAAAAAUUGAAAAACUUUUAGGGACAAAAAUUAUAUUUUUCCAAAGUUCAGAGGUCAAAAUUAAUUAAAAGAUAAAGUUCAAGGACCAAAGUGAAAUUAAUUUAAGGACCUAGGUGAAAGAAAUUUAAAAUGUUCUGGGCUACAGUAAAACUACUGCAAAGAUCAGGGGCCAAAGUGCAAAUCGUAACCAGAUCUUCUUAAAAAAACAGGCCACUGGGCCAUUCUCUAUUUUUUCCGGGCCAAAGGCCAUUCGGCCCAAACGAAAGUUCAAGCUAAAAUACCCAGGCCAGCCCGUUUUGUUAUAGCUCAAGCCCGACGAAAAAAAUACAUGGGCUCCAACCUCCUAGCCCAACCGAAACCCAAAAGAAAUAAACACAUAUCCAUUCCCAAAAUCCAACCAAAAAAUAACUCUUGGCCCAUCAGAGAAAUAAACAUUAGCCCAAUUCUUUUUUUUUCCUUUUUCCUUCCUUUUUUCUUUCUUCUUCUUUCUUCCCGCCGUUUCCUUCUUUCUGCUUCUGCUUUCUCCUUCUUCUCCACCGAGGAGCUGAAGCUCCCUUCUGGCUGGCGGCUAUGGCGGUCGCCGGCAGCACCACCGCCGGUCGCCAAAAUUUCUCAAAAUACACCUCUCACUCGAUUUUUCGCGUAGAUUCCAUUUCCGGGCUUAGUUUUAACAAAAAUUGACCCUAAAGUGGCCAAAAAGCCAAGAAAUCAGUUCAGUUUUUAUUUUCUUAAAACCUUUAAACCUCCACCAAAAAUCAUAAAAAAUUAUGCCAAAACCCUCCUUAUAACUUCUACAUUACAACUAUAAUCUUAGUUUGACAGGUAAACAACAACAAAAUGAUGCAUUAAGUCAAAACAGCCCCAAAAAUAAAGAAAAUAUUUCAAUGCCUUUAAAGCUCAAAAUUCCAAAAAAUUUAGAUAAGCAAACAUUUCUAGGCCUGGUGCUAGCUAACGAUCAUCCGUUUUGACAACAACAUGCACAAUAUUCAGCUUUUAAAUCCAUUUUUCCAUUUCGGCAUUUUAUCAAGCAUUUGGCAUGCAUUCACAGCACCGUUUCUUUUUUCUUAAUUUUAUACAGGCUUGUCCCAAAAACUUCAAAAACACCACAAUAGCAACAAAAAUCAGUGAAAGGAAGAGAAAAAUAGGUAGCCAAACAUGCAUUUAAUCUAAUUAAUUUAAAAAGGAAAAGCUGGAAAAAAUACCUCAAUGAGGUUGUGGUCCCUUGACUAAAAUUUUGAGGAAGUUCCAAGCUCUUUGUCCAACCGGCGGCUGCCUCCUUGUGUCUGAAUAGUGUGUGGGUGUGUUGUGUGAAGUGAGCAAAGAGAGGGAUAUGGCCGAGAGAGUGAGGGAGCUUUCUUUCUUUUUCUGUUCUGUUUUCUUUCUUCUGCCCAGUCCGAGAGAGGGAGAGAGUUGGGGAGUGCUUUUUGUUUCUUUUUUUGUGGCUUGUCUUCUGUGAGAGGGAGAGCCGAGUGAAGAGUGAAUUCAGGGAAAAAGGUGGGGAGUUGGUAUUUUUCUUGUCCAAGGGAUGGUCUCCCUGUCAGAGCCGAAAGAGUACAUAUUUUUGAGCCCCAAAGUGUCAUUUUUUUUUUCUUGUCAGUCCCACCCUCGAGAGAGUGAAUUAAGGGAGUGUGUUUUGUAUGUUACUUUUCUUUUCUUCUUUUUUUUUUCUUUUCUAAACAAACCUGCAAAAAAAAAUAAGAAAAAUGCACGUUAAAAUGUAAGAAAAUAAAUAAAUUAUUAAAUAGAAAAAUCUUGAGAAAAUAUUAAAAAUUGACAAAAAUUUGGUGUCUACAAUUACAUUUGGAUAAAUUUCAUUUUGACCCCCUAAACUAUUUGCAGUUUCCCAUUUCAAUCCCUAAACUUCAAAAUGGGACACUUAAGUCCCCAAACUACUGAAUCCGUCCCAAUUAAUUAAAAAUAUUGAUAGAAUCCACAAAACCAUCAGGGUUUUUGCGUCAUGUAAAACAUGUGCUAUUGACCAAGGGCAAGGAUGGAAAUUCAAAUAAAAUAUAUUAAAAAAGAAAAGGGAAUUUAUUUUUAGCACAAAGGAGGGAAAGUUUCCCUCCUUUUAUCCAGCACAUUCGGGUCAUAUAAUCGACCCGAUCCAAUUCACAAAAGGGAAGCGAUGUUUCCUAAGAAAAUAGAGACCAAUUGGCUGAAUUUUCAAAUAAGAGGUAAAAACUAAGAAGAAAAGAGCAUAUGAAGAUAAGAAAGGAGACAAAGGAAAGAUCGCAUGUUAAAUUUAUCAUAAUUAAAUUUUUUGUAUGUUAGAAAGACACUCUGCUUACUUUGCUUUAAGAUGUGAAAGAAUCGCUAUCCUUACGAUGAAUUUGCUCCAACAAUAAAGGCAACCUUCUAUAGGAUAUAAUAAAACUGUUCUCUUGAUUUCUCAAAAUAAAGUGUAAAAAUCGUACAUCAAUUUUGAUUGAAUUCUCGUUAUAGAUGUUAAAAGAGGGUGUUUUAAGAGUUGUUACUGUGUUUUAUAUAGCGGAUAAUUAUAGUUACAACUACUGGAGUUGGAAUGGCCAAACAUUUGAGUCCAAACGGGCAUAGUGCCUAGAGAGCUAUCAGUAAAUCUUGACACAGUUCGGACUUCAAAACAUUUAGUUUGGCCCACGAACAUCCACUUUGACAGAUUUGCAUAGUUUUUGCAAACUACUCAAUGAUUCCCCACUAAUUUGCAAAACUUAUGUAUCUUAACCCAUGGAGUCUUCAAUAAUACAACUUUAACUGAUGAAUCUUAAGCAUAAUUAGAAGUAUCUCUUGAUUUAAACUUCCAACUGGUGUAGGUGAUUUAAAUUUUUAAUGGAGUUGUUAGAGUUCUUAAAUUGAACUAUAACUCUUAUAUGUCAAAGAUGAAAACACAACACAAUUAAUGAUUGUCUUCUUUUCUCAAGAGGUUAAUAUGAACUUUAAUUAGAGCUAUUUUAGCCACAUGCUAAUCCUAGUUUCACAAUCAUCUACAAAAGUAUACUCAAACUCUUGUUGAAAUGGCAUCACUUCAAUACUUAUACAGGUAAAUUUGUACUUGUAGAGUUCUAUGUUUAUGUCAUGCAAAAACAACAGCAAUCCCACUCAUGGGAGUGCUGUAAAGUAAAUAUUAUUGACUAGGAACGUAUGUUAAGCAAAUUUCUUUAUGAUUUACAAAGUCGAAGCUAUCGAACCAGUGAGACUGUUUCUACCCAAGUCCAAAUGAGACAGAUAUUCGAAAGAAAACAAUGACCUUGCAAUACUUCCAAUGAAUUUAUUGCUCUUCAAACCGAUGUAUGUUAUGUGUGCGCAAUUCAUCUAACAAUCAGGAAUUUCUCCUGAUAAAGAAUUCUUUUAAGAUCUAGAAUUGCAAGACCUGAUUUUCCAUUCUUCAUUUCACACAAAAAGUGAGAAAUACCUUCCGAAAACAAAUAGAUCGAAAGGUCUAAUUGUUUUAGAGAAUGAGAAAUUGAUUGUGCUAGUGGACCAUUGAAUCUGUUUGACUACAAUAUAUAUAUAAUCUUUCAACAAUUUCAGAGAUGUUUGAACUCUUACCAUGAAGUCGAUUAUGAGAAAGAGACACGACUUCUGCUGCUGAGUUGAAUAACCAACGAGGAUAGUAUUUGAAAUUCCUGUGGAAGAUAAAUUCAAAUACCGAAGGGUUUUUUGGUAUUGGAGCCAUAUAGGAAAUUGAAGACCGAGAUUCCAACAACCUAAUCCAAGUCUUUCAAAUGUGCUAAAAGAGAAGUUGGCAUUAAAUGGCAUGGUGGUUUUCAUCCUCCACUUUCUAAGCACUGUUACCGGUCAGAUUUUGUGGCCUUCAAUGCCAACAAUGUUUCUUAUCGUCCUAACACUACUAGCUUCGCUUAUCGAUAUUUCCAGUGAAGAAAUCGAGAAGUUGCCCCACUAAUGGGGAAGGUAUUUUUUUCAGCAAAAUUGAGCAUCUUAAAUUGUUGCCUUUCUUUAUUCUAUUGUUAUAUUUCAAGUGAAAGAUAUCAUGUCAAUUUAUGGAACAUGGAUGAAUUAAUAUGAAGUGGACAGAACUUGGACCAAGUUAAAAUCUCAUUUGAAAUUCCCGACAUUUGGUGUUGAACACCGAUCAUAUAUAUGCUCAAACCAAAGCAGGCCACUGCAAAUGGUGCAGCUAGUUUCGUUAGAAGCCUGAUUAGGCCCUGUCGGGGCGGUGGAACAUAUUAGACUAGCAGAUGUCAGUCUAUUGAUCAUUGGCAUGAAAAUGCCUUCUUGGAUGUCUUCAUGUACCAAUUUCGAACUUGUGUAGCACUAGUUUUACCUCUUCUAGUUGCCAAUUCUCUAUUCUUAACUAAAAGCUCAUUUCUCCAAUUUCUUAUUCAAACUUAAUUACAAUUGAAGGUGUCCACUUGUUGUGAGUGCAAUUAUCCCAAUCCAGAAUCCCCUAUCAAGAAGAGGUGGUCAAAUUUUUGGUCCAUUAAUUUGCCGUUGGACUUGAAAAUUUUUUCUUUUGAAUAUCAACGGUUUCAAUAGUUAUGUAACCAAAACUUUAGAAUAAUAGUUGUUGAGUUGCCUUCUAAAUUAUGUAACCCUAAUUUCGUUACCAUAAGUAUAGGCACUAUAGCAUUGUCCUUCUAACUAUAGCAUUGUCCUUCUAAAGUUUUGUCCUGUAUACAUGAAUGUUGUCAGUUAUUUGCUAGCUAGUAUGUAAUUAGCUUCCCAUUGUUUUGUAACAUCCACAUGUCACGUUUGCAAGAAGAUAGAGUCCAAUAUAUUUGACGUUUUGACAGUCAGCCAAUCAAAAUAAAAUACCUAUUUCACAAUAAUAAAAUUAGAGCUCAGUGGUGAACAUAUCGUACCAACAAGGAUUAGAAUGAUUUAUUUCUUUCAAAACAAUUAAUAGAAAGGGGGGAUUUUGGAGAUUAAACCAACUAAUUAUUUAAACACAAAAUAAACAUACAAAAACUAAGUAAAAUUAAAUUAAUAAUAAUGGAGCUCUAGCAAAAGUAUUAACUUCCGAAAUGCUUUUCUUGACUAUCUUGAUAGUCAAAGUACGACCAUUCACUACUUUCCUAAUUGAAAAGAUAAUCAUAGGUAUGAUCGAACAUAGGAUUUAAUCUUACAGUUGCAUUAGAAAUAAAAAAGCUCAAUUCUAAUCAACAAACACGCUAUGGAGGUUUAUUUAAUUUUCAUUAUAUGUCUCCCUAACACAAACUCAAUCAUGCCAUUUACCACAAAUAUUGACCAAUAGUUUGUUAAGCUCCUUUGUUUUCCUUCAAUCUUCUGUACAGCAUUAGGUACAUUAAAUUAAGAAUCUAGUAGGAAAGUAAAAAGAAAGAAAUAGUCAGACAUUCAUACUUGAAAUUCACAAGCACAAAGUUUCCAGUAGAGAAAGAUACUGAAACUGCUAAGAUAGGAUAGGAUAGGUCCUACGUCAAUUAAAAUGUCAGAUGUUCUUUCUUGGAGAACCUGCCAAAAGUAAUCAACAGGUGUGUGUAUGCCCUUCCUCAGAUUUGCGAGGCAAUAGAACAAAAGAAAAGCAAAACAAUAGAACAAAAAUAAAAUGUUCGAUAUAACCUUAUAUUGGGAAAAAUUGCAAAAGUAUUUGGUAAUCACAAAGCUAACAGUAAAUUGGACGAUGUUCACCUAGGUUUCAUCAGCAGCAGACACAAGGAAUCCUUUAGAUGCUUCCAAAUGUCUUCAAGUCUAAGUGCGUAAUUCUUUGAAAGAACAGAAAAUACAUAUGUAGACUUCACAAAUGGAGUUCAUAUGCUGAGCAUCUGCAAUGAAUUGAAUGCUCCACUAAGGGCUAAUCUAAACUCAAAGGACAAGCUGAAUGCAUUACUUUCAUCGAUCUGAGCAAUAAAAAUUAAACAUUAGACAUGUACAAACUUUUUGGGAGUGCUAGUUUAGCAGAUGGUCAAGAAAACAAAACACGUAUUGCUGGCUUUUUCAGACAGGAAAAAACUGCAGACGUCUCCAUAACCAGGACAUUUGAAAAACAGAAUUCUAGUGUCACCUGCGGGAGGGGGGUAGCGAUUCUAGAAGAGCAGAAGCUACAUGAUGACGCACUACCAGCUACCAGCAACUUUCUGAGGUGUAAGCAGAGGACUUGUUAAUGCUCAUCUGUUCUGUCUUUCCUGCUUUCUGCUUGUUGACAUUUUCCACUAGCUGGCAGCUAAUCUACUAACCCGAAGUUAAGAAGUUCUUCUCUUCGUCUUUAAUUAGCAACAAAGACAUAUGGGACCUGGAUACGUUUGAAGUAUUAUAAGAGCUAAUCAACAAGUACAGAACUGUUUCCAGGAUGAUUUCACUAUGGCUCCUUAAAUAACGGCACAGAAAUUAUAUGGAACUUUUCAACAUAUAUCAACCUAUAUAGUAAAAGCGCGAAUGGAUCUGUUAAGAAUGGUGGUUUUGUGCUGACGUGGCUGUGUUUUAUUGGUUGGAGGAUGGUUGUCACUCAUGCGUUUCUCACGUGCCAAAAUUUUGUUUUAGGGCUUCCCUUGUUUUCUUUCCCCUCAUUGAUCUCCAUCGCCCCCAACCAAGAAGGAAGUUGAGGAGCCGCAUAUGGCAAUGGCAGAGCUUGAAGCAACUCAUGCAACUCUCAUCUUGAAUCCCCGUUCCCAAAAGCCAAUGACAAAUCAGCAGCUUAUUCACCGCCAAGGGCUUCCAAAGAGGACGAUUCACCGCGAAGAAAACAAUCUCCCUAGCUGGAUCAGAGUCACUCAAUCUCUUCUUCUUUGCUCGCUCUGUUCUCUGAUUCUUGUCGAAGACGACUUAAGUCUUCCGUCUGUGCCUCUAUUUUGUAUAUGAUCUGUCUGAUUCGUAAGAUUCUCCUACCAAGUUUUUUUUUUAUCCGGUAAACAAACCCAAUCUUGGCGAAGCCGGAAACAAACUAAAAACAAAUGCUCACCAGAGCUCCUCUCCUCUCCCCUUCCAUUUUUCUUUUCAUUUCUUUGUUCCUUUCUUCCUUUUUGUUGUUUUUUAUUUGGUCCUUUUUUCUCUGUUUUUCCUUCCCGUUUCCCCCCUCCCCCCUUUUCCCUUUCUUCUCUUUCCUUUUUUCAAUUAUAUGAUUCUAACUGAUUUUUUUCCCUUGUUAGAAUUGGUCUGGAUAUGAAGCUACUAAACGCAUGAGACGCAGAAAUCAUCUUAAUUGGUAAGCUCCAAUAUUUCCCUAAAGUUUUACAGUUUCCUUUAUUUAAAAAAGAAAGACAUUUUCCCUGCUAAGAUUUGUUAAUCUUUCGAUUAGUAACAGGGGGAUGAUAAUGUUCUGGAUGGUUUAGCAAGUCAAAAAAGUUUGAUUUUUUUCAUACCCUUUUCUAAAUAAUCAAGAACAUUAUAAUUGUACUUUUUUGGAUUGAAAUAUCAUAUAUUUCAUAGCAUUUUGCCGAAGGAUUAAUAGGGAAUGCCUUUGGAAAUAUGCUUUCAACAAUCAAUCAUAUGCAUGUAGAAAAAUUACUCCACUUCUUUUGUUUGGUUUGAAAAAUGAAGUAGUGUAUUUUUUGGCUAAUACAGGAAGUUUUCUGAAGCAAGACUUAUCACUCGAGAUAUCACAAGUGAAUAGGUGAGAAAGUUGAAGUUUUGAUGUUAGAAAUCACAUCGGGAAUGGUGAUACAAUUGACCAUAAACCAUUUAUGAAAAUUUGUUUUUUUGCUUCCACUGGACUGGAAUGCACUUACUUUUAUACUUUUUUUCCUUCAUUCUCCCAAUUUUUUUGUCUCCUAUGUUUCGGAAUUUUUUGUCUAAAUGUUUUCUUUUAAGCAGAAAAAGUAGAAAUAGACUUUUGUGUGUGCAUAUAGGGAUUUAAAAAGUAAAUACACUUUUAGAGUUAAAUAAAAAAUGAAUGGUGUUUGUUAAAUUGGUUGGUGCAGAAUAUGAUGAAAUUGGGGGGGGGGGGGCAUUGCAAGAGUUAAUUCAGUUUGAAGGCAUUCUCCAGUUAUGAUUCUGAUACUUGUGUAUUUGCCAUACUGCCUAUCUUUACUGCCUUGAAAUUUAGCGGGGUUCUAUCUAUCUCUAUUGAUAGCAGUUACUGUUUCUCAACAGUUGAAAUGUCUUACAUUUAGCGGUUAGAGCAGCUGAUGUUCUAUGCUCAAAUUUUCCAGCUCUUGUUUAGUUGUUGCUUGGGAUUUUCAAAAAAACUUAAAUUGUCAAUUUUCUUGGUUUCUUUUUCAUGUCUCUGCCAUUGUCAAUUUGCAAUGGAAUUGAACUUAUUUCAUCUUUUGAUGACUUUAGUUUGAAGUUUUUAAUUAUAGUUUUGAAUAAGUUUCAACUAAUUGUGGGAAAGAAAGUUAAAGUGGCAAAAUUUGUUAGAUUGGUUGGUAGAUGAACACUUUGGCCACAAAUGUUGUUAUGAAAGGUGUAUGUUUACCAAAAACCUAUUACUUAGAAGAAAAAUAUCCCUAGAUCUCUUUUCCUUCUUUGACCAUAUAGUUUUGGAUUCAUGGGUUGUUCAAAUUUAGCACAAUGUCUUUGGCUAAAAACUUGGUGAUUAUUUUUGUGUAACAUUUUAUAGCUUUCUUUUUUUCUAUUUGUUUCCAUUUUGCAUAUGAACAAUUUAUUUUUGCUUCUAUUUAUUGUUGUUAACUUUUUGGGUUCAAUUUUAUAGGGGUAAUGCUUCGUUUAGUACCAAUCAGUCAAGCCCAAGCUUUGGCCUUUUAGCAUAGUUCAGCUUUAGACAUGUAAGCUGUUUACACUUUAUUUAGAAAAAUAUCUUAGUCAAAUAGAUGUGCUUGUAUACUAAUAAUUAGUAGAUGUCUCUGUUGAUUAUGUUUCUGUUGAUUAUGAGAAAAUGACUAAGUUUCUGUUAAUUAUGUUUUCUGCUAUUUAACUUGUGAACCUCUGUUAAUUAUCUUUUCUGCUAUUUAACUUGCGAACCAUUUCUCUGUGUCCUUAUUUGGCAUUAAAUUAGAUGGAUACCGGGCUCUUCAUGAUGGAAUUAGGUAUUAAAAUUAUCGGCAUAUAAUAAAGCAAAUAAUGGCCUUCUACUACUUUUAAGGUGCUGAUUCUAACCUUUUUUCUUUCACCUUUCGUUUUAAUAUAACCAUCUCUAUGAAUGGAAUUUUUUUUUGCAACAGUGUCUGUAUUGUGUAUAUAAUAAUGUAAUGGAAAAUUGUUCAUUUGUAGUUAUUGCAUGUUUUAUAUUGUAAUUGAAGAUUGUUCGUUUAUUCUUUGGCUACACUGGUGCAAUAUGCCCCGACCUAUGAAUUGUACAAAAUCCUUUGCUCCAUACUUUUGCCUCCAGGGAUAAUUAUAUGGAAAAAACUUGUCUGGCAUAUAGGUAAUUGCAUAGAUAGGCGCUAAUGUUGAUGUUCCUGUAAGUGAAAAAAGUUAGAUUAAAAUGGAAGUGACAAUGAUAAAAGAAAAAAAUCUAUGAUAUAUUUUUGGAGAAUAUGGUAAUUGUUACUAAUAUUUAACUGUAUGAAGUGGAUUUUUGCAGUACCACUCGAAUGCUUCUGCCAUUUGAUUAACAAAACUACGUGUUUAUUUAUGUGGGAAGCAGAAUCGGCCACCCUUGAAGCUUUAUCAAGAUCAGAGCCUUGAAGCAUAUGACCCUGGAUAUUAGAUUUUGCACUAACUGUAGCUAUUUGAUCUUUGCAUUACCUGCUGUCUAUGUAUAUCAGCUCUUCAUGCAUUAUAUCUCACAUGGCUUGUGUUAUCAUAAUAUUUUUGUUUGGUUUAAAAUCUUGUGUAACUGGAUGAGUUAUUUUGUGCCAAGAGUUUGACCAUCCCUUUUGCUACCGAUGUAUUGAGAGAUUAGAAUUAUGGCCUAUACUAAUAAUCCUCCUCCUUUUUUGGUCAAAUGCAAUUUAUCCCACUGAGGUUAAUGUGUAAGCACAGUUUCUUUUUAUUGGAUUUUGUUGAAGUUACAGGCUAAUGAAAACCUUUUUAGUUAUUGUACUACAAAGUAAUGUGUUUUUAGUCUUUGGGUUAUUUUGAAGUGUAUGAUUCUAAUAACAAGGAAAAGGCUUGAUGCAAUACUACACUGCAUUUCUUUUUUUCCUUUUUCUUAUAUUCCUUUUUGAGCUGGAGCAGCUUUGACAUGUAAUGAGAACCUCUAGAAUGCAGUCUACUGGUCGCAAGUUUCAUAAAUGUAGCCUUUUACAUUGUCUCAUGUACUUGUCUUUCCUUUUACGAGAUUCUAGCUGUUGACAUGCAUCAAAUGAUCAAGGGCUGAAUUGCAUUGAGGCCAGUGAAACUUCCUUUUUUUUUUUUUUUUUUGUGUUAAGUAGUUGACCAUCCCCUAUGCUAUUGAUGUAUUGAGAAGAUACACCUGCAUUAGUAAUCCUCCUCCGUUUUUAGUCAAAUGCAGUUUAUCUCACUAUGGUUGAUAUGUAAACACAAUUUCUUUUCCUUUUCGUAGAUUUCUUGAAGUUACAAGCUAAUGAAGCUAUUUUGGUUAUUGUACUACAAAAUAAUGGGUUUUUUUUUUUUGCGGUCUUUGGGUUAAUUUGAUGCAAUUGCGAAAAUAGUGGAUUGGUUGUAUCAGAGUCUAAAAAUAAGGCCAAGCCUUGCUGCAAUACUACGCUGCUCUCGUUUUUUUUUUUUUUUUUUAGCUGGAAAGUCACAGAUUUUGAUGUACAUAAAAAAUAUAAGGCAGUAUUACAUAGUGAUAUAUUAUUUUCAAACUAAUGACAUUGCCAUUGUUGUCCAAUUAGUCAGCAUAACAAAAAUGACUGUCAUUUAGCAACCAGACUGAAAUUGUGUCUCUCUUCAUUGUUUAAUAAAAUUACAAAAAAUAAUCACAAAGAUUUGUGUGCACCUUCAUGUAAUUCUUUAUAUUGAAUAUCCCAAUUUGAAUAAUUGAAUAUUUCUGGGCAAACUUGAAAAUUACACCGCGCAUCGCGCGGUGUUCCCCUCCUAGUAAGUAGAAUAAGCGCCGAAGAGCUCUUAUGACCUAGAUGGUUUUCGUCGUCCUCUCACGUGCGUUGUGUGUGGUUCCUGACGACGUCGUUUUGUGUUGUUCGACUUUCAACUUGAAUUUCUGAAUUUGUUGUUGUCUUUCGCUCGUUUCUUUUCGUCCGGCAGGGUUUAGCUUCGUUGUCUUCUUCCAUGACGUUCGCCACUGUUGUAUAUCAGAAAGGCUGUUUGCCCUUGGUUGCUCCCAUUUAACUAAUCAGCUAGCCUUCGUCCUCAUCUAAUAACGGCAAUAAAUAAUUUCUGUACUACUUUUGCUUUUACUCUUCAGCCUUUUUUUCAGCUUUUCAGCCGGAGCAUUAAUGGGUUCGAGCUUUCCCAGCCUUUCCCAGCCUUCGUCUACAUGUACUUGCUCUCUAUGGUUUUUCUUAAAUUUCCGCCGCUUGCCCCUCUCUUUCUUCCCCUUCUCCUUUGCCUCACCUUCAUCCUCAGAAGCUCCGCCGCCUCUACUUCGUUUCCUCCUCUCCAAAGCAUUCGAUCUCUCAUUUCUUCUUCAUUCUUUUGCAUUUUUUCCCAUUCUCCUGGUUUUGUGUUAAAACCUUCAUUGCAUUGAAUUUUUUUUCAUUUUUUUUGGGUUGCAGCUGGAAUGAUUUUUAAUUUCUGGACUCUUAUGCUCCAUCUAAGAUAGAGUUGGUAGCGCAGAAUCAUCUUUCCUCGCUGGCUCUGUUUUUGCAGGUAAGAAUGUGAGAACCCGUAAAUUUUUCUUAUUUAUUUUAUUUUCCGGCGUGCAUUUUUCUUACCUUAUUUUAUUAUAGCAAUUUUUCAGAGAUUUUUAUAAGUGAAUAUAGUUUUAAAUCAUUUUUCUAGUAUAAGUUAGUUCAUGAGAAAUUAGGAGUGUAUAUUGGACGUGGGACCCGCUAGUACGCUAAAUGCGAUAAAUUUCUGGCAAUUAAUUAAAGUUUGGUAUUGAUGGGUAUUAUUUUACAAGGUGUUAGGAGACAAUUAGAGAUUAGCUAGAUAGCUUAACUAUUGGAAGAUAAGAGGAUUAGAUCAAACCCUUAAAGUGCCACGUGUCGCUUUCCUAUUCAAAGUUGGACUUGCCUAACUUUCUUACCUUUACUAAAACAUCAAUUUUGAUCAAGCUUUCUCCAUUUUAUUUCCUCCCUUGGCUGAACCUUUGAGAGAAGAAAGGAAAGAAGACUUCAUCUUGUAACUUCAAAUUCUGGUCCCAAUCUUGAGUUUCAACUGAUUAAUUUUCAAAUUCCUCCAUAAAAGUGACUUGUUAAGGAAGCUUGAAGGUAUUAGUGAAGUUGUUUUAGAGGAGGAAACCCUAAGCUACUACCUUUCUUGAGGUGUCAAGUUAUUUUGCCUGGAAACUCACUCUUUGUUCCUUAUAAUGGUAAAUUAGUAACUUGUGGUGGCUAAAUAGGUUGUUUUAUGGAAGAUUUCAUGGAAUAAAGUGGAGUUAGAUAAAUUUCUGAUUUUUUUGUGGAUUUUUCUGUUUUCAUAUGAUGGGUAUGAUUGGUCUUGGAUUGAUAGUUCUAAAUUGUGUUAAAUAGAGCCUUUGUGCGUUAAUUGAGGUUAGUUGCGAAAAAUUUCAGUUUUGUGCAGAAAUUUCAGGUUUAGGGUUUCAAAUCUGCCCUAUUUUACACUGCAUGUUCGUCCUUGAAGGAGGCCGAAUCAGCCCUUGCCAAAAACAUGAAAGUUGUUGGUAAUUGAGUCAGCUAGCUACCUAUAAAAUUUGAGCUCAAUCGGAGCACUGUAACAUAUGAAAUAACCAAAAUACCCUUGACUGCCCAUAAGCCUUGUUUCACGGACAGUUUUUUGUCCUCACUAAAAUUUCGAUUUUUGAUCAUGAAAAUGCAUGAUUUGGUUUUGGAGGUCUUCAUAGGAAAUGUAGGUAUAUGUCUUGGUUUCGAAACGCCAUAAGAUUCGUUUCAAUCCGAUAUGUGUAGCUUCAGUUAUGGUUAUUGUGCCGAAAGGUGUGUUUUAUAGUCUAUGAUUUGUAUGUGGUUGAUUUGAGAUGAAUUGGUGUUGAAUGUAGGAUGAAAAAAUAAGAAAAUGUAGGGGACAUACUGUCCAAAUUUUGGGAAUGUGGGAUUUCUUCGAGUUUGGUUUGGUUUGGGAUAUAUAUAAGAAAGGCUUUUGGGGUUGUUCGAACCCUAGGUCUUCAUGUUACCGCCCUAGGUUUUCAUAUUAUCUUUUCGUUCCCAAAAUCAUGUUUUGCACCAUUUCAUUAGUAAUUAUUUGGCGAGGCAUACGACUAGUAGUCGAGUCUCAUUUAUGCAUUCCGUUUACUCGAUUUUGGAUGUGAAACAUUCAAUUAUUUUACUUUGGUUAUUUUAGGGUUUCUUGGCGAUUAAAGCCACUCUGGCGUGAAAACUUUUGAAAUAUCUGUACUUCAACCAGUGAGUGUACCACUCCCUUGAAUUAUUGCUAAAAUGGUUAUCUGUACUUACAAAUUACUAUUUGAACGUCUUUAUCGACUGUUUAUUUUGUACGAGACGAGUGUGUACCUUAUCAUACUCGUUCUCUAGCCUGUGUGGCUUGUUUCCUGUAUAUACUUGAAUCUGUUACCUGCGCCUAUUAUAAUGUCGUUUGGAAGUGUAUCCAACGACCUUCCUGUUACAUCAAAACUCAAUCUCAUGGGGAGUUAAUUGAAUCGAGCCAGAAGGGCUUCGUCAAGAAAAUUGACAAUCCAUGGGUGCCUGUUCCUAGGGAAUCUAUGGGUAUUGGAGACUCUGUAUUUUCGGUAUACUCGAGUAUAUUACCAUUCCUGUUUCUGUUUGGCGUUUGGGCCCGGUAAGGAGUAUGUUUGGUGAACGGGAUUUUGGUAUUAAAGUGAUAUUCUACUGGAUUGGUUCCUUUAUUUGAACGUUGACGGAGGGUCAACAAGGCUGGAUCAUGUAUUGCAACGGGGAUUUGGCUUUUGAGAACCACCUGUAUCCUUUACAUUGUGGUGUUCAUUCAUUUCUCGUAUUUGAUGUGAAUAUGUGCCUUAAAAGUGAUUUUUCAUGAGUUCUACUAUUUCUACUGUUUAUACUUUUGGUACCUCAUUGAGCUUUUAGCUCACCCCGUUCCGUUAUCCUUGUUUUCCUUACAAGGAACCAUCUUUUGGAACUUCGAUGUUUUGAAGAAUCAGUGGAACUAGUUAGAAAUUCUUUUGUUCUUUUGGUAUAGCUCCUCGACAAUUUGAAAACCCUAAAUGUAUCUUAAUACAAUGUUCCUUUUGGUUUGUAACCUUACUAAUAUGCAUAUAUUAAAGUGUUUCCUUGGAUAUGUGGCAUAUGUAUUUGGGAAUGUACAUUCUCUCAUGUUAAACAAAGUUUACUUGAACCGGGUUGGAUUAUGACGUGACAGCGGCACUUCCAUUACGUUUUCAUUUUUCGUGGGAACGUUGUACCAAAGAUUUAUUGUAUCUUUUAGUUCGACUCAAUUGGGAUGUGAAUGUCUAUCUUCUCGAAGUUCUUUUGAGCGUUGGGUAAGGUUUACGUUUGUUUCGGAUCCGUAGUUCCGGCGAGAGUUGAGCUGGCGGUCCGCCAAACCCUUUGGUUCACCUUAGGGUGAGGUGGGGCUGUCACAGGUGGUAUCAGAGCCGCUUCACGUGGUCUCUGCGUGGAGUGAGUUUGGGCCAAAUGGUGUUAUGAUCCUGCUUUCAUGAAUGUGUCUAAGUGCUCGUAUGAGCAUAAGUUAUGAAGCGAGCAUGUUAUAUGUGUAAAAAUCUUUAUCAUGGAACUUGAGGAAGAUAGAUACGUAUGUCGGGUAUGAAUCUAUAAUAUGGAUGAUUUACUCUUAGGACCGGCCGGCUCAAGUUGUGAAUUAUUUUAUUGUGGAUUCUUGUAUUUGAGUAUCAAGUAGUGGAGAACGCGAGAAUAAGGGUCUGUAUCUUGAUUGAACUUGAGGUAUGUCUGGAUUUCAAAGUCUAAGGUACGGAAGAUUUUACAUUGGACCUAGUAAUUAGAUUGGUUGAGGGGGUUUGAUAUGAAAGUGUUAUCAUGGACUACUCUUGUACUAGUCUGGCUCGGGUUUUCUAGAGGGUGGCUAGAUUGUAAGGGAAUUCGCACCUAAGACUUGUUCCCUUUUGCUAUGACCGUAAGGACUUGAUAAUUGUUUACGUGACUUUGAGUUAGUCUAGUUACAACCACAGAGGUUUUUUCUACCCCUAUUGUGAGAUUCGAUACCCGUAGUUUGGCUCUCGAUAAACUACCCUUGCCUAUACUUUCUUGAUAUUUAUCCCUUGAUGUCAAAGUAUGGACCUGACUUGAUUAUUAUUGUGUCGAGGUCGAGAGUUUGAAAUUAGGUAUGGAAAUAUGAGAGAAAGGAUUUAGCCUCUAUACCUGUAUGCUUCUAAGUUUAAUUUUUUGUGGUUAGAUUGGGAGUGAGGGAACUUAACAGUUAUAUGGUUACAGUCCCAAGUGUACUUGGUUACUUAUUUUGAUUUUCUAAUUUGCUUGGCAGGCUAUCCCUUGAGUUCGAGCGAAUCGGUAAAAUGGCACAUUUGGCUGAUAUGUAUAAGGAGAUAGAGAUUCUUCGAAAGGAAGUAGAGUUCCAAAAGAGAUUAGCUGAGCACUGGGAAGGGCAAUGGAAACAGGGGCUCCGUUUGGAUUGGCUGUUUUUUGGAUUGUUUUUCAAAAACACCACUGUAGCAUUUCGAAUUUGAAAAACAAGUCCGUUUGGAUUAGUUGUUUUUUGGGUUGUUUUUCAAAAACUAUAUGAAAAACUUUCAUUGUAGAUUUUUUUGGAUUUUUUUUAGAGGUAUUUUUGAAACAUAUUUUUGAGUAUAAAUAUACAUUUAUGCAUUUAUGAUACAUUUAUAUUUACAAAUGUAUAAAUGUAUAUUAUUAUAAAUGUAUAAAUUAUAAAUGAAUAUUAUAUAAAUGUAUAAAUUAUAAAUUAUAAUUUUUAUAUUUUUAUAUAAAUAUACAUUUAUGCAUUUAUAAUACAUUUAUAGAUAUUUAUAAAUAAAUAUAUUUAUAUAUUCAUAUAAAAAUAUAUAAAUGUAUUAUAUUAUAUAUAAUACAUAAUAUAAAUAUAUUUAUAAAUGUAUAAGUGUAUAUUAUUAUAAAUGUAUAAAUUAUAAAUGAAUAUUAUAAAUAUAUUAUAAAUUAUAAAUGAAUAUUAUAAAUAUAUUAUAAAUUACAAGUGUAUAUUAAUAUAAAUGUAUAAAUUAUAAAUGUAUAAAUUAAUAUAUUAUAAAUAUAUAUUAAUAUUAUGUAGAAAUGUAUUUAUAUAAAUAAUAUAAAUGUAUAUAUGUAUUAAUAUUAUAUAUAAAUGUAAAAUUAAUAUUAUGUAUAUUAAUAUAAAUGUAUAAAUGUAUUAUAUUAUAUAUAAUAAAUAAUAUAAAUGUAUAUUUAAAUGUAUAAGUGUAUAUUAUUAAAAAUUUAUAAAUUAUAAAUGAAUAUUAUAUAAAUGUAUAAAUUAAUAUAUUAUAAAUAUGUAUUAAUAUUAUGUAGAAAUGUAUUAACAUAAUUUAUAUAAAUGUAUACAUGUAUUAAUAUUAUGUAUAAAUGUAAAAUUAAUAUUAUGUAUAGUAAUAUAAAUGUAUAAAUGUAUUAUAUUAUAUAUAAUACAUAAUAUAAAUGUAUAUUAUAAAUAUACAUAAAUAUUUUUAUAUUAUGUAUAAAUGUACAUUUAUAUAAAUGCAUUAAUAUAAUAUAUAUUAUAUUAUAUAUAAUUUAUAUAACAUAUAAUAUUUAUGUAAAUAUAUUAUAAAUAUAUAAAAAUAUAUUUUAAAUAAAAUAAAAUAUUUAUAAUAUGUAUGUAUAAAUAUAUAAUAUUAGAAAUGUAUAAUAUAUAUGAUAUACAUUAAUAUUAAUAUAAUUUAUAUAUAAUAUACAUAAUUGAAAUAUACAUAUUAAUAUAUAUUAUAAAACAAAAUUGCAUAAAUAUAUUUAUAAAUUUAUAUAUAAAUAAAUGUAUUUAUAUAAAUAUAUAAUAUUUAUUUCAAUUGAUAUAAUAUAUAUAAUAUUAUACAUAAUUAAAAUAAAUAUAUUUAUAUUAAUAUAAUAUAUAUAUAAUAUACAUAAUUGAAAUAUAAAUAUUAAAAUACAUAAUUGAAAUAUACAUAUUAAAAUAUAUAAUUAAAAUAUACAUAUUAAAAUAUACAAAUUGAAAUAUGCUUAUUAAAAUAUACAAUUUAAAUAUACAUAAUUGAAAUAUAUUUGGAGUUAUUUUUGAUAUAUUGUUUGGAUAUGGUGUUUUUGAAAUUGUUUUUGAAAUACACAUUUACUGUAGCAUUUGGAAUGUGAAAAACAGUUUUUCAAAAACAAGUGCAAAAAUACUCAAUCCAAACGGACGCUAGGAGUAUUCGGAAAAAAUUGAGUUACUGUACAAGAACAUAGAGCUGAAAAAGAAAUACGAAGGAAUUCUGGAAGAGAUACGAAGUAAGUUUGGGCUAGUGCCUUCAUCUAGUCAAAUGGCCUCUCAGGACAUUCCUAAUAAUAAAGAUGAAGGAGAUAAAGGAAGUGCUCACAAUAACAAAGGGAAACGCAAAGAGAUGGAUGGAAAAGGAGUUGCUAUGAAGGAUAAGGGGAGGAAGAGGAAAAAGAAUGGACACUUUAAGAAGAAAUGUGUGGCUGCUAAGUGUGAAACGUAUAACAAAAGUCAUACAUGAAUAUGUUAUGUGAAAAUUGGUGCAUGCUUUAGAUGCGGCCAACUGGGACACCAAAUGAGGAACUACCCAGAACAAAUGAAUUUUGGGAUGGCGAAUCUGCUGUAAUAGUUAAAAUCGGCAAGUAGUGAUGUGUUAGCUGAAAUAAUUGUAUUUAUGGACCUAUGUAUAUGCAACCUCUAUAUAGUGAGUAUGUUUUGGAUAAAAGUAGUAGAUCUAGUACUUGAUAUUUUGAUGACUAAUAUUAAAUAUUGGUGAUUUGACAGUAUUGAAUCCUGAUUCAUAAAUCUUUUAUUAUCUUUUAGUCUCGAUGUUAAGUGAAAUUUGCGUCUGUGGUUCGGAAGGGGGAAACUUUUGAUGUCUUCACUGAUUUUCUUAGCAUGGCGUUUUAGUCAUAGUAUUAUUGCGAUUUCUCUCUAGAUAGAUUGUGAUACGAGAAGAAUUUCGAGGACGAAAUUCUUUUAAGGGGGAGAGGGUGUGAGGACCCGUAAAUUUUUCUUAUUUAUUUUAUUUUCCGGCGUGCAUUUUUCUUACUUUAUUUUAUUAUCAUAAUUUUCCAGAGAUUUUUAUAAGUGAGUAUAGUUUUUAAAUCAUUUUUCUAGUAUAAGUUAAUUCAUGAGAAAUUAGGAGUGUAUAUUGGACGUGGGACUCGCUAGUGCGCUAAGUGCGAUAAAUUUUUGACAAUUAAUUGAAGUUUGGUAUUGAUGUGUAUUAUUUUACAAGGUAUUAGGAGACAAUUAGAGAUUAACUAGAUAGUUUAACCAUUGGAAGAUAAGAGAAUUAGAUCAAACCCUUAAAGUGCCAUGUGUCACGUUCCUAUUCAAAGUUGGACUUGCCUAACUUUCUUACUUUUACUAAAACAUCAAUUUUGAUCAAGCUUUCUCCAUUUUAUUUCCUCCCUUGGCCGAACCUUUGAGAGAAGAAAGGAAAGAAGACUUUAUCUUGUAACUUCAAAUUCUUGUCCCAAUAUUGAGCUUCAACCGAUUAAUUUGUAAAUUCCUCCAUAAAAGUGACUUGCUAAGGAAGUUUGAAGGUAUUGGCAAGUUGUUUUGGAGGAGGAAACCCUAAGCUACUACCUUUCUUGAGGUGUCAAGGUAUUUUGCUUGAAAACUCACUCUUUGUUCCUAAUAAUGGUAAAUUAGUGACUUGUGGUGGCUAAAUAGGUUGUUUUAUGGAAGAUUUUAUGGAUUAAAGUGAAGUUAGAUAAAUUUCUGAUUUUUUUGGAGAUUUUAUGUUUUCAUAUGAUGGGUAUGAUUGGCCUUGUAUUGAUAGCUCUAAAUUGUGUUAAAUGGAACUUUUGUGCGUUAAUUGCGGUUAGUUGCGGAAAAUUUCAAUUUUGUGUGGAAAUUUCAGGUUUAAGGUUUCAAAUCUGCCCUGUUUUUCACUGCAUGUUUAUCCUUGAAGGAGGCCGAAUCAGCCCUUGCCAAAAACAUAAAAGUUGUUGGUAAUUGAGUCAGCUAGCUACCUAUAAAAUUUGAGCUCAAUCGGAGCAUUGUAGCAUAUGAAAUAACAAAAAUACCCUUGACUGCCCAUAAGUCUUGUUUCAUAGACAGUUUUCUAUCCUCACUAAAAUUUCGAUUUUUGGCCAUGAAAAUGCAUGAUUUGGUUUUGGAGGUCUUCAUAAGAAAUGUAGGUAUAUGUCUUGGUUUCGAAACGCCAUAAGAUUCGUUUCAAUCCGAUAUGUGUAACUUCAGUUAUGGUUAUUGUGCCGAAAAGUGUGUUUUAUAGUCUAUGAUUUGUAUAUGGUUCAUUUGAGAUGAAUUGGUGUUGAUUGUAAGAUGGAAAAGUAAGGAAAUGUAGGGGACAUGCUGUCCAAAUUUUGGGAAUGUGGGAUUUCUUCGAGUUUGGUUUGGUUUGGGAUAUAUAUAAGAAAGGCUUUUGGGGUUGUUCGAGCCCUAGGUCUUCAUGUUACCGCCCUAGAUCUUCAUGUUACCUUUUCGUUUCCAAAAUCAUGUUUUGCACCCUUUCAUUAGUAAUUAUUUGGCGAGGCAUACGACUAGUAGUCGAAUCUUACUUAGACAUUCCGUUUACUCGAUUUUGGAUGUGGAACCUUUAAUUGUUUUACUUUGGUUAUUUUAGAGUUUCUUGGCGAUUAAAACCACUCUGGCGUGAAAACUUUUGAAGUAUAUGUACUUGAAUCAGUGAGUGUACCACUCCCUUGAAUUAUUGCUAAAAUGGUUAUCUGUACUUGCAAAUUGCUAUUUAAACGUCUUUAUCGACUGUUUAUUUUGUACGAGAUGAGUGUGUACUUUAUCACACUCGUUCUCUGGCCUGUGUGGCUUGUUUCCUGUAUAUACUGGAAUAUGUUACCUGCGCCUGUUAUAAUGUAGUUUGGAAGUGUAUCCAACGACCUUCCUAUUACAUCUGAGUUCAAUCUCAUGGGGAGUUAAUUGAAUCGAGCCAGAAGGGCUUGGUCGAGAAAAUUGACAAUCCAUGUGUACCUGUUCCUAGGAAAUCUAUGGGUAUUGGAGAUUCUAAAUUUUCGGUAUACUCGAGUAUUACCAUUCCUGUUCCUGUUUGGCGUACUGGCGCAGUAAGAGGUAUGUUUGGUGAUCGAGAUUUUGGCAUUAAAGUGGUGUUCUAUUGGACUGGUUCCUUUAUUUGAACGUUGACGGAGGGUCAACGAGGUUGGAUCAAGUAUUGCAACGGAGAUUUGGCUCCUGAGAACUACCUGUAUCCUUUACAUUGUGGUGUUCAUUCAUUUCUCAUAUUUGAUGUGAAUAUGUGCCUUAAAAGUGAUUUCUCAUGAGUUCUACUAUUUCUACUGUUUAUACUUUUGAUACCUCAUUGAGUUUUUAGCUCACCCCGUCCCGUUAUUCUUGUUUUCCUUACAGGGAACCAUCUUUUGGAACUUCGAUAUUUUGAAAAAUGAGUGGAGCUAGUUAGAAAUUCUUUUGUUCUUUUGGUAUAACUCCUCGACAAUUUGAAAACCCUAAAUGUAUCUUAAUACAAUGUUUCUUUUGGUUUGUAACCUUACUAAUAUGUAUAUAUUAAAGUGUUUCCUUGGUUAUGUGGCAUAUGUAUUUGGGAAUGUACAUUUUCUCAUGUUAAACAAAGUUUACUUGAACCGGGUUGGAUUAUGACGUGACAGCGGCACUUCCAUUACGUUUUCAUUUUUUGUGAGAACGUUGUACCAAAGAUUUAUUGUAUCUUUUAGUUCGACUCAAUUGGGAUUUGAAUAUCUAUCUUCUCGAAGUUCUUUUGAGCGUUGGGUAAGGUUUACGUUUGGUUCGGAUCCGUAGUUCCGGCAAGAGUUGGGCAGGCGAUCCGCCGAACCCUUUAGUUCGACUUAGAGUGAGGUGGGACUGUCACAGAGAAUCACGGCCAUUAGAUUCGCAUUCUUGAACUCCGACAACUGGUUGCUGAACCCACUAUGAGGUGCGUACCAGAGGAACUUUUCUCCCCUAAAUUCUUCUGAACUUGUGCAUUGUGGAGGAACUGGGACUUGUUCGGAAUUACCUGAAAUUGAAAGCACGGAUGGGGGAAGAAGGCGCUUGUACGUAAUGAAAAGAAGAAGAGAGCAACAAAGAAGGACAAAAAGUGCGAAGGAUUUUGAUUUGGGAUGCUGAUUUUGAUUCUCUCUUUUUGCUUCUGAUGGGAUUCAGCGGUUCCAUAUUUCGUCUUAGGAAGAAUCAAAAGGUUUUGGAUUGGUCGUUAGUUAGCUGUUCAUAAAUUCACAUAAGUCGCAAUGAAGUAGUACGACAUUGGAUCAAGAAAAUUGGAUCAGAAAAGAACUGUCAAGUUCUAAAAUUAUACUAUAAUUUUGGUUCCAUUGUCCUUUUUAAGGUACUACCUUCUUUGUUCUGAUGUUUUUUCCCAUUUUUUCUAUUUCCCUUGUUCGAGCUUUGUGGAUUAGCCCAUAUUUUAAAAGCGACAAGUCAAGAUUGAAUCCAUGUUGCGAGCUGCUGAGUUGCGGCACAUUAAAUUGAACACGGUUGCAUAUAAUUCUGCGAUUGGAAGUUACAUGAAUUUUGGGGACUUUGAAAAAGCAAUAAUGGUGUAUGGGUCGAUGAGGAAACACAAUGUUAAACCCGAUUCUGUCACUUACAAUGUGUUGAUAAGUGGUUGCUGUAAGAUGUCAAAGUUCUCUAAUGCACUUGAAUUUCUCAAUGAAAUGUUGGACCUCAAAGUUCCAUUAUCACAAGAGGUGUAUUCAUCUGCUAUAUGUGCCUAUAGUAAACAGGCAAGGACUAUCGAUUUGUGACUACUGUCCCUGUAAUUAGAUUCUUCCAUACUUAAAUCUCUCUCUCUCUCUCAGGGUCAACUUGCUGGAGCAGAAUCAAUGUUUUCCAUGAUGAAGAUGGCUGGUUUUCAUCCUGAUGUUGUCACAUAUACUGCUAUGCUACAUGCAUAUAGUGUUGCUGGUAAAAUCCUAUGUCGGACUAUUUCAUAUAUGCUGGCUUAAAAUUACUGAUAUUAAGAAGCUCAAACUGAAUGUCUUGUGGAAAUUCCGUAUGCAGAUGACUGGGAGAAAGCUUUUGCAAUAUUUCAAGAAAUGGAAUUGCCUGGUGUCCAGCAAUUCAAGGAGUGGUUUUGUAAAUGAAGCAAAGCUCCUCCCGGAACUGAGCCCAAUAAAAUUCUUUCCUUUGUUGGAAUGCAUAUGGAUGUUGUUACUGCCAACCCUUCUGACUGGGUAACAGAUUUUGAACUUUUAGCAUUUUUGAGUAAUUUAUUUGUAAUCUGAUUAUACAUUUUGGCAUUUUUAUUACAUUCUGAUGAUUGGUUUUGUCUUGUGUUUGACUGGAACUGAUCGUAAAUUUGUUUUGUGUUGUGAGUUUGCCAGAAUGAGGACAAAAGAAAAUGGUAUAUGUUAAUUGGGUUUUCUUACUUUAAGUUUGCAACUCUCUCUCUAUUCUGAAAAAAAGAUUGUUUUAAUUGAUGAUGAAAGGGGUUUCUUUGAUUGGAAGUUUAAAUUUGAUAGUGCAAGGUUUAAAGUUGGAGACUUUUUGUGUUUUUAUACACUGGCAAUAUUUUUCUGAAUCGUUUCAUUGUUAUUAUGGUUAGAUCUCGCUGUUGCAUGUACAAUGCUACAAACAUAUCCAUUUUCCCCAGGAAUUUGAACCUCGUAUGGAAAUUGUAGUUAUGCAAUGACAAGCCGUGGAACUUAGUUAAUUUUUCGUAGAUAUUGAAUGCAUGCAAGUUUUAUUUUACGGUAGCUGCUGAUUUGUAGUCUAAGGAUGUUCACUAUAAGAAAAUUAAAUCUUGAGUGCUAAAUUGGUACCUUAAUGAAAAUUUUUGGCUCUCUAUAUUGUUUUAUGAGGCCCGUGCUAUGAUUUGGGGGAAUGAGUUCAUUAGCCUUACUAACUAAUGGGUAUCUCAUUCUGUUGUUGCAAAUAUUGUAUUCCAUCGAAACAAAAUUACGUCAGCUCGUAACUUAUAUUUAAAGCUAUUUAAAGCUAUUUAACCAGCUAUUUCUUAAUUCGAGGGCAUGAUUAUGGAAUUUAGCUAGAACCUGUCAUUGUAAUUAUCUUUUUCCAAGGUUUCAAGGAAGUAAAUAGAGGGGUUGGAAACAAACUAAGUUUGAGUUCUGCUCUUUGACCUGGGUAUAAAUUUUUGUCUCCUCAGUAUUCGAGUGUUUUGUAUUUAGAGUCUAAGACAAUAUCUAUGCCUCAGAAUUUUGAUCCUUUUUCGCUGAGCAUUGAUGGGGAUAAACUACGGGGACGCGGAACUACUGAUUGCCUUGGGCAUGUCGCUCUUGUAGCUGAACUUAUGACGAAACUGGGAGAGACAAAGCCACAGCUGAAGUCCUCUGUUGUUGCUGUUUUUAUAGCCAGUGAAGAGAAUUCAUCUAUUCCUGGGGUUGGUGUGGAUGCAUUGGUUAAGGAUGGAUUGCUCGAUAAGUUGAAACAGGGGCCUUUGUAAGGACAUAAAAGUAGUAUUUAAGUAUGAGAAUCUUUUAUUGGUUAAUUGGUUAUGUUGAAAUUGUUUGGCAUUUGGUUAAUGGUUUAUGUGUUUGAAAACAGAUUUUGGAUAGAUACAGCGGAUAAACAGCCUUGCAUUGGGACAGGUGGCAUGAUACCAUGGAAACUCCAUGUUACCGGAAAGCUUUUCCACAGUGGUUUGCCCCAUAAGCUGCUUUUUGGCUUUCUGUUGUCUCAUAUCAGCUGCACUAAUUCUUUGUGUAAAACUCACAUAUGCAGGAAAGAGAUACUGUCACUUUCUUAGUUGUGUCACCAUGCAGGCAGUUCAUAUUAUGACAAAGAUCAAGUAAUUAAAGUAACCAUUUUUCUGGAAUGAUGAAACUAAACUAAAAGAGAGGCAUCAAAAAAAAAUUUUAACUUUGCAAGCACAAAAAAUACAUUUAAUAUUAUUUCCUCUUGAAUUAAAUUAUUUAUGCAGAAACAACUGCAUUUGAAGUAUUCUUAGUUCACGGAUAAAUCCUUGUUAGUGAUCACAGUGCACCAAAAAUAAAUGGGAUAGGGUUGGCUGUAGAUGAAUUAAUGUUACGAUAAUUUAGCUGGACAAUAACUUGGAGGGAUUGAAGAGGAAUACUGCUGCAAGUUCAUGCACAUUAAGAAUGCUCCAUUACUGGGAGGAACCUGUGAAUGUGUUCCAUUUAGUAGUUUUCUUUUUCUGUAGGCUAUUAAUCCCUUGGAGCUAGCAAUGGAAGCACUCAAAGAGAUCCAAUUACGGUUCUAUAAAGAUUUCCCUCCUCAUCCUAAGGAACAAGUUUAUGGAUUUGCAACACCAUCAACAAUGAAACCAACUCAAUGGUCUUGUAAGUCUUGAUCACAUUGUGGAAGAACUCGGACAAGUGUGAUAUUUGACUUGCCAUAAGCGGCCAAUCCAAUUCCAUUUUUCUGAAUAACCAUUUUAUAUUGCAGAUCCAGGAGGUGGAAUUAACCAAAUUCCAGCUGAAUGUACAGUUUCAGGGGAUGUUAGGUACAUAUUUCUUUAUAUAUUCUUGUUUAGGAUCUUGAACUUUUAAACCCUUCUAACAAUGCCUCUUUACUUUUGCAGGUUGACUCCAUUUUACAGGUGGAAAAUUUUUCCUUUUUUCUCCUUAGUAAAUUGUGGAUGAUUUAAUUUAUCAGAUUAUGAUAUUUCACAAUUAAUUCCUUUGCCCUCUUCAUUUUUAUGCUUUAGGCUUAAACUAAUUAUCUUCCUGUACUUAAGUCUGCUGUAGCUUUACCAGUUGAGUUUAGAAGGAUAUUCAGGUAAAAAUUCAAAAGUUUGACAGUAUAUAUUAUUCACUCCUCAACAGUGUAUCAGAUGUGCUGAAGAAGUUACAGGAGUAUGUAGAAGACAUAAAUGAAAAUAUUGAGAAGCUUGAUACUAGGGGCCCUGUUUCAAAAUAUGUGCUACCAGAUGAAAACCUAAGGGGAAGGUAUGCCUUUGUCGACUGCUUUGUUUAGUAGGAGCAUGCUGAGUGGUUGUUGCUUUCACUUUAAAUUUGGUAGGAAUGAAAAAGGGGAUUGUAGUUUAUCAAAUUGAAAAUCAUUUAUCCACUAAUUCAAGAAAAUUUUAAUAUACAGAGAAGAAGUAUGCAUAAGGUAAUUACACAUCCUAAGAUUAUAAACACUGCAAGAAACCAUUAUUAGGCCCAACAGUCAACAAUGUAAUGCGAAAGUUUUUUGUAAACUGACAGAAAAGUUAAAACUGUCCCUGGAUACAAUCUAUGAAUAUGGGAUAAAUUCUACAUUUUAGAUCUUGAACUAAGACUUCUCUGUUGCAAAUGGUUUUUCAACUCAAAGCCACAUGCUUCAUCUGGGACUAGGAGGGAUCACAGAACCAAAGCUCCCUUGUUUUCUACAGUUUCUAAUUCAUAUCUUUCCACUUUCCCAGAAGUUUAAUUGAGUAUGCUCUUUCAAAGUUCAAAUAAACAGAAAAGAAAGUCCCACAUCUUUCUUGCAAACUGGAAAGCAUUUCAUCGAAGGAUAUUUAGGUUUGGGCUUCCUGUCAUAGACAUGCUUCAUCACGUUGGGGGUUUUCUUUUAUCUUUUUCCUUGGGAGUUGGAAUGGGCAGCACUGAUGGCAAACAACAUAAGGGAAAAAAAUGCCCAUGUCAUGAGAACUUUUGUUUCCACAUAGGGGAUGGAACAGCUUUCCACUAAUAAAGACAUUCCUUGAUCAAGUAUUUAUGUUGUGAAUUGCAUUGCACCCUGAGAUUAUAAUUUCAAACAUGGAAGUAGGGUGAUGGUCUUAUGGAAUCAGUUUUCUUUGCAUAUCAGUACAGUACUCAUUGUGUAACAUUCAGUUUUACAAUUUAUUUACCCUCAGAAUCACACUAAGUUUCAACGAGGCAAAUUCUGGAGUUGCUUGCAAUCUUGAAUCCCCUGGUUUCCAUGUCCUAUGUAAAGCGACUGAACAGGCAGUGGGGCAUGUAAAGCCCUAUUCUAUUACUGGUAGUUUGCCACUUAUUAGAGAAUUGCAGGUACAAUGAAUUUGCUUGUCAUAAGACUCAAAUCUUUUGGCAUCCUUCUAACUUUGUUAUUUGGCAGGAUGAGGGCUUUGAUGUCCAAACUGCAGGCUAUGGUAAGAUUCUUCCAUAUCCUACCACUUUUUUAUUUAAAUAAUAUAAGCUUAUAGCUGUAUGCUUCUGGUAGUAUUUUGUGAAAAAGAUGUUUUAGUCUGCACUAGGAUUUUUCCUAGAGCUUGGUUGCUUGAAUCCUUUCUUGAGCAUGUUACUUGCCAGUUAUACCAUUCCUCUUAUCUUAGAAGGAACUCGAUGAAAGCAUGUUAAGAUUCUGUCUUCUUGAUAAUUAUUUCUUCUAUAUGGCUAACACCUAACCUGGUUGACAUCUUCUACACCCAUUCUGAUGCAAAAGAUAUAUAUGCUGCUGUCAAUUUUGGCUACACCAAAACAGAUGGAUUAAUGGAUUUUGCUCUUUUCAUAAACAUGCAGGCUUGAUGGCUACAUACCAUGCCAAGAAUGAGUACUGCCUUCUAACUGACAUGUGCCAGGGCUAUCAUGUGCCUUGUGCCCAUGUCAUGCUAAUAAUAACGAAUAAAAUUCAUGACUUUUCAUUAUUGAUGUGAAUGUCAGAUGAUGGAAUAGUGGUAAAGGUGAGGUUAUUUUCUUUUAAUGCGUAGGAAGUUCCACGAAUGGUUGGUGGCUUGUUAAGACUAUAUUUUCUUGCAUGUGGGAUAUUCUUUUGUAUAUUUUCUAGCAUGUAGGAUAUUCUUUUGUGACUUGUGAGAAAGUCGUGGUAAUUGUUAUGUUUCAUAUGAAUAGUUUCCAUAUUUUAGUUAUUCCUAUCUGACACAUAUGGCUCACUCAUUGCCAAGUCUUGGAAAUUUUUUGCACGGGAGCACCAUUGAUGGUAAUAAAUGGAAAAAAAAAUGACAAUAAUAGGUGCAGAAAUGGUAUAAUGGUAAGGUUUCUUACACAAAUUGAAAAAACAAUGAAAGAAAAGGAUAGGGAUGAAAGAAUAUAAAGGACUUUAUGAACUUUGUGUUUCUAUAGCCAUUUGAUAUUCACACACAGAUUAUUGCUUCAUUUUGAAACAGGUUGCAAAGGAGGGAAUUCCACUGCCUCCAGAUAGAAUGUUAUGCCCUUUGUGUUCACAAAAGCAUGUAAAUCCAUCAGCUGUAGCUGUUUCAGGAUUUGUCUUUUGUUAUUCUUGCAUAUUUAAAUAAGUCUCUUAGGUUUGUUUCUCCAUACUUUUGUAUUGAUCAUGGUAAAAUUGCAGAACUACUGCCAAAUAUUGUUUCUAAGUGAUGCUUUCUCUUAUGUCGCAUUUCAGGAAGCUUUAUCAUUUUUCUGUAUAGUGUACGCUAAACUUAAACAGUAAAUUGUACACUGUAGCCAGAAAUUCAAUUUUGCAACUAAUUCUUUUGUUUAAUCAUACUAGCAGUUGCUUGUUACCCGAGUUCAGUUACAUGAGAUUUGCCAUUUUCAGUUACAAUUCGAUAUUGUUUUGAGUUGUUGAUGGGCUGGGAUGCUAGGCUAUCUAGAUCCAUGUCUGUCUUUGUUGUUGUAAACUACUGCAGUAUCUCUGAUGAAAAAUUAUCUGAGUGUUCUCUCUUUUGGUAAAAAUUUCUGUAGUAGGAUAUUUUGUCGUAUAUCAUUUACUUUUAAGUUCCAAUUCUUUUAUGAACAGGACUGUUAGGUCCUUUUCCUUUUCUUCCUUUUUUGGUCGAAUUAAUGAAUGGAAGAUUGUAAUCGCAUGAAUAUUGUACAUUGUGAUAUCUACUCAAGUUAAUGCAUUCUAAGGGCAUUUGCCAAUCUUUGGGCUGACCAUCCUUUGCUGUUGUUGUAUUCAAUCAAAAAGGCAUCGAAAAAAUGUAUCCAUGGCAUUUUAAUUUUCAUCUUCAGCUCAAUUAGGCCAUUAUUAAUCUGGUACAUUUCAGUAAUUGACAGGUGUCGAGCCUGUGCAAUAAUAAAUACCUACUCGAGAAAAAUGAAUUUUCUGUGUAUAGUAGUGAGUAGGGUCGAAUCCACAGGGAUUGGAAAAAAUUCGAUUCUUUUCACGUUCGGGACACGGGGGAUUUUUAUCAAAUAAAACUAAAAAUAAAUAAUUAAACAAUUUAACUAAAAAUAAUUAAACAAUUUAACCAAAGAUAAAUAAUUAAUUAAUACAAUUGUAAAUAGCAAUUAAAUAAAUGAUAAAUAAAUUCUAGCCAAGGAUACAACUACGCAGACACAGUCCAUUCAUCCGAUCAUUGAUGCAAAGAAGGUUCACUUAAUUUAAUUAAUAGGCUAGUUAUAGUCGCCGAUAAACUCUAACGACCAGUUUUUCCUUAAUUUAUUGAUAACCAAGGUACGACCAUUGAUUACCCCUAACCAGGAAAUACUCCUAGGUACGACCGUAGGAAUUAAUUUCCUAAUUGCAUUAAAAACUAGAAAAGCCUAAUCCAAAUUAAUAACACGCUACGAGGGUUAUUUAAAUCAGAUUGCAUGUUCUCCUAGUAUGUGAAAAUACUAGUUGUCACUAAUAUUAACCAACUAAACAAUUAAGGAUUUAAUUGAUUAAUUUGACAAGAGAUUAAUAAGUCAAAUUGCACAUCGGUCCCUUGAUAUCCAAUUAACAAAAUAAUCCCAUGGAAAUUAAAAUAGAAAACAUGCAAAUAUUAACAAAUUAAGGAACACGUAAAAUUAAUUAGAUCUCACAGAUAUUUGGGACUGCGUCUUCGCGUUGAUCCUUGACUAGAGGAGAAAAUUAGCCACGCCUCAUAAGAAAAUUCCCACGCAAUUUAAUUGAACUCAAAGACAUUUAUCUCUUACUAAUAAUUAAAAAUAAGAAUUGUAUUCUCUGUAGUCUAAUACAAUAAAAAUAGUCUCAUGGAAGAGACGGAAGAAAACAAGACACACGAGAAAUCUUCACCCCCAAAACUAAAAACUUCUCUUCCCAGACAGAAGAGAAGAAGAAAAACUGAUUCUGUAAAAUGUCCGGCCCUCUCUCAUUCUCCUCUGCACUAGUUUUAUAUGAGAACUAGUUACGUAGGAAGCAAAUAGAAAAGCUACUUUCAUCAUCAAAGUCCACCUAUGGCUAAUGAGUACAUCUCCCAAAAGAAGAACACAUUUUCUAAAUCAAUGUUACGUGGUCCCUGCAGAAUUCUCUCCUUUUGACUUCUUAUUGCUAGUGGACUUGUCAGGACUUAAUAAUAGGAAGGCAACUCUUCAUCAGCAAUUCCGUUGGUUUGCACAAUUUGGGCUGAUUGUGGAAAGCUUUUAGAAGCUUUCACGUGUGGAGAGAUCUUCUCAAGAAGGUUCCCUUUUAGCACUUUUCUGCUCCACUUUCUGAAAUUAUAUCCAAAUACCAAAUAUAAAUAUAUAUUGACAAUUAAAGCAAUAUUUGGCAAGGAUAAAGAGGAGAAUUAACAAUAAAAUUACUAACAAUUAACAUCCUAUCAAUUCCCCCCACACUUAAAUCAUGCUUGUCCUCAAGCAUGGGAACAACUAAAUUCAACAAUGGCUAACUCUCAUUUCAUUUACUGCCAAGCUAUGCUUAUCCCAAAAUCAAGUUUUAGUGGCUAAGUGUCAAGACAUAUUUCUCCCGAUUAGCUCCUGAAAUCAUAGACUCGUCCAAUUCAUGGCUAACUCGUCUAAGAAAUUAAAAUAUUAAACUAGCAAAAGUUAGCAAUUGGGUCAACUGAAAAUCAAAAUCUCAACAUUGAAGAACAAGGAUCGGCAGGCCAAUAUGAUCAUAAGUUUACACAUUAUUUUAUUCUCUCUCUCUUUUUUUUUUUUUUAACAAUUAAUUUUUUUUUUUCAAAAAUGCUCAGUCCCAAGCUAUUCAAGUCUUUUGACGUGAACUCUGACAUUUUUAGAUGAAAGAGCCCAGUUACUCAACUUUUCACAGCUUCAGGACUAACUACUCAUAGAUAUCGCCACUUUUUGACGCGAAAGUCGACACUUGUGGUGAAAACUCCCGGUUACUGGGUGACGGCACUAGCGGAGUAGAGUCAUUUAUUAAUCACAAUUAAAGUAUCAGAAUACCAGAUAAUUAAAGAUCAUGGCCCACGUCAUCUCCUAAUAUGGAGAACUAAGAUCAACAAUUACCCAAUCCACAUAACAAUUGCUAAUAAAAUAUUUAAAUUGCCUAAACAAGUUAACCACAAUUUGCACCAAGUCAUUAAACUCAUGAUAUUCACCAAGAUAACAUGCGUUUACUUGCCAUCUAAACAAAAUUCAUAGGAUAAAUCACAACCAGCAAUAAACGAAUGAAUUGCCAUAUUUAUUCAUCAAAACACUAGUAAGAAAGGCAGUAAAUUAAAGAAACACCAAUCAAAACUAAACCCAAAUCCCCCCCCACACUUAAAUCACACAUUGCCCUCAAUGUGAUAAUGAAACAGUAAAAAUAAGAAGAAGGACAACGAAACUCCCCUGAAACUGGUGCCAGCUAUUAGCACCUGUAGUUGGAGGAGGCGGAGCGGAGGUCAAAGGGUCGGGAUCGUGGUUUCACCAUUCUUUCCAAAUUGUACUAAAUAAAUAAAAAUCAAGCAAAGUAAAAAGAAACAGGCAAAAUAACACAGAAGUAUCCAACUAAGGAUGAAUAGAAAUGUCAGGUAGUCCAAACACGCAAAAUUUUCAAAAACGUACUGUAAUAAAAAUAAUAAAAACAUACUGCAAUAAUAAAAUAAAAAAAUAAAAAAAAAUAAUAGAAAGAGAUUGAGGCAGGCGCGUGCAUACGAAGCCAGUGGUGCGAUGAAGGUGGUGGCUGUGAGAGAGAAGAGUUUGCGGCAGCUGGAUCUGGUGGUGCUUAGCGACUGCGGGUGGUGGGCGACGGGUUGGGGUAGCGCGCGCGAGGGAGCGGCGGGCUCCAGGUGGCGCGCGCGAGGGAGCGGCGGUGGCGUCGGUGGAGCAGGAUUUAGGGAGGAGACCUGGGGUGGCGGCGGUGGGCGGCGGUGGGGUGAGGUUCGCAGCCGAAGAAGAAAGAAAAAGAAAGGGACAGCGGAAAGAGAAGAAAGAAAAGAAGAAGAAAGAAAGAAAGAAAAAGAAAAGAGAAAAAGAAAGGAAAAAAAAUAGUUUUUGAUCUUACAGUUUUUUUUUUUUUUUUUUAGUUCGUCAAACAUGGCAUGGGCACGCCAAGAUUAGAAAACAUUCUCUGACCUUGAAGUUGGAACUUGUAAGAUUAAUGCGUGCCCUCUCCGCGCGGGCACGCCAUGAUCACCUGUCCUGAUCAUAGUAGAGAAAAUAUCAAAUUUAAGCAAUACCCAGAUGAGAAACGACAUAUUUAACGAAUUGAACAACAAAAACCAACAAAAUCAAAAAUUGGGUUGCCUCCCAAAAGCGCCUUUCUUUAACGUCUUUGGCUAGACGGUGUCCAGAAUUUGCUUAAACUAAGCAAAUCGGGUCUUCCAGUUGCAUCAUCUCCACCCGUUCAAUUGGAAAUCCUUCAUAAUACGGCUUGAGACGGUGACCAUUCACCACAAAUUUCUUCUCCGUUUUCAAAAUUUGGAUCUCUACUGCACCAUAAUGAAAGACAUUAGUCACAACAAAAGGGCCAAUCCAACGAGAACGUAAUUUACCUGGAAAUAGUUUCAAUUUGGAGUGGUAUAGUAAAACUUUUUGCCCGCAGACGAAUAUCUUCCUAGAGAUCUGUUGGUCAUGAAAGAUCCGAUUCUUCUCUUUAUAGAUCACUGCAUUCUCGUAUGCUUCAUUUCGGAUUUCUUCCAACUCUUGUAAUUGCAACUUCCUUUGAAUUCCGCCCUCCUCGAUAUCCAUAUUGCAUUGCUUGACCGCCCAAAACGCUCUAUGCUCAAACUCUAUCGGGAGAUGACAUGGCUUUCCAAAUACCAAUCGGUAAGGGGACAUGCCAAUAGGUGUCUUGUAUGCCGUCCUAUAUGCCCAUAGUGCAUCCUCUAGUCUCACACUCCAAUCCUUCCUAUCGGGUCGGACCAUCUUUUCUAGAAUUGAUUUGAUCUCUCGGUUCGAUGCUUCCGCCUGACCAUUUGUCUGAGGAUGGUAGGAUGUAGAGACUUUGUGCAAAACACCGUAUCUCCUAAAAAUUGCAGCGAUCGUUUUGUUGCAGAAAUGAGUACCCCGAUCACUUACAAUUGCUCGCGGCAUCCCAAAGCGAACAAAAAUAUUAGACUUAACGAAUUCUGCAACCACUUUGGAAUCAUUAGUACGGGUGGCCUUUGCUUCUACCCACUUCGAAACAUAAUCUACAGCAAGCAAUAUAUACAAAAAACCAAAGGACGAAGGAAAAGGACCCAUAAAAUCAAUGCCCCAAACGUCAAAAAUUUCAACAAAAAUCAUUGGGGUUUGAGUCAUUUGAUCCCUACGAGAGAUAUUACCCACUCUUUGACACUUAUCACAUGACUUACAAAAUGAGUAGGCAUCCUUGAAUAGAGUUGGCCAAUAGAAUCCACUCUCUAGCACCUUACGAGCCGUUCUCUUCGGUCCAAAGUGACCUCCACAUGCAAAAGAGUGACAAUAUGCUAGAAUAGAUUGAAAUUCAACUUCACUUACACAUCUACGGAUGAUUUGAUCGGCACCCCGCUUUCAGAGGUAAGGAUCAUCCCAAAUGUAGAACUUUGCAUCGCUCCUCAACUUGUCUCUCUUUGCCUUAGGCCAUCCUGUAGGAAAUUUGUCAGUGACUAUAAAAUUAACAAUAUCUGCAUACCAAGGCAAGAAUGAAUUAAUAGAAAAUAAAUGCUCCUCGGGAAAUGCUUCUCUCAAUGGGAGGUCCUUUUCGACGACUUGUACUCGACUCAAAUGAUCUGCUACUAGGUUCUCUGCCCCUUUCUUAUCUCGGAUCUCCAGGUUGAACUCUUGUAACAACAAUAUCCACCGUAUCAAUCGCGGUUUUGCCUCUUUCUUGGUCAAUAAAUACCGUAAAGCUGCAUGAUCAGAAAAAAUAAUAACUUUAGCACCAAGUAAAUAAGACCGAAAUUUUUCUAAGGCAAAAACAACUGCUAAAAGCUCCUUUUCGGUGGUUGAAUAGUUCAAUUGAGCUCCGUUCAAGGCUCGAGAUGCGUAGUAGAUAGCAUGAGCUGCCUUUCCUACUCUUUGACCCAAUACCGCACCCACUGCAUGGUCGCUGGCGUCACACAUGAUCUCGAAUGGGAGGUUCCAGUCAGGGGGUUGGAUAAUAGGUGAGGUGGUCAAUAACUCCUUUAACUUAUUGAAUGCCCCCUUACAUGUUUCAUCAAAUUCGAAAGAUACAUCUUUUUGCAAAAGUUGGAACAAGGGUGCUCCAAUUUUCGAGAAGUCCUUGAUGAACCUUCUAUGGAAACCUGCGUGACCCAAGAAGGAACGAACUUCCCGCACACUCGCGGGGUAAGGUAAAGUAGAUAUAACAUCUAUUUUUGCCUUAUCAACCUCAAUACCUGUAGAUGAUACAACAUGACCCAAAAACUAUCCCGUGUUCAACCAUAAAAUGACAUUUUUUCCAAUUAAACACGAGAUUAGUUUCUAUACACCUUACUAAGAUCAAUUUCAGGUUAUCUAGACAGUUUUCAAAACUUUCACCAAAUACACUGAAAUCGUCCAUGAAAACCUCAAUAAUCUUCUCAACAUAUUCUGAAAAGAUACUUACCGUGCAUCUUUGGAAGGUAGCAGGUGCAUUGCACAAUCCAAAUGGCAUCCUUCGGUAUGCAAAUGUUCCAAAUGGGCAGGUGAAAGUAGUCUUCUCUUGGUCUUCGGGUGCGAUGGCAAUUUGAAAAUAACCUGAAAAUCCAUCCAAGAAACAAUAGUAAGCUCGACAUGCUAAUCGCUCCACCAUUUGGUCAAUGAAAGGGAGGGGGAAAUGGUCCUUUUUCGUGACGGCAUUUAGCUUUCGGUAAUCGAUACACUGUCGCCAUCCGGUGGGCUUUCGAAUUGGUACGAGCUCACCCUUUUGGUUUGAUUCCACUGUCACCCCUGCCUUCUUCGGGACCACCUGUACUGGACUUACCCAUGGGCUGUCUGAUAGUGCAAAUAUAAUUCCAACGUCCAGCAGCUUUAAAAUCUCUUUCUUUACGACCUCCAUCAUGAGAGGAUUUAAUCUCCGUUGAGCUUGUCGUAUAGGUUUAGCAUUCUUCUCGAGUCGAAUUCGGUGCAUACACACCGCGGGGCUAAUUCCCUUGAUAUCGGCGAUGGUCCAUCCUAUCGCCUGCUUAUGUUCCCUAAGAACUCGAAGUAGUUUCUCUUCUUGAACCUUUGAUAAACCCGCGGAGAUGAUCACUGGAAGUGUCUCCCCUUCACCUAAGUAUAUAUACUUUAGGUGUUUCGGCAGUGGUUUUAGUUCCAAAACAGGUGCCUGCACCACAGAUGGAAGUAACCUUUUGUGAGGUUCAGGUAUAAAAAUGGGUGCGAGGUCAUACCUUGUCUUCGUGGUUGGUAACGUUUGCAACGAUCCAAUCACGCAUUUAAGCUCUUCACUCAACUCUACUCCAGAUGUCGUUUCGGACUCGAAGUGCUUGGUCAGAACGACCUCUAACUCAUCUCUGCCUUCAAUUUCAAAAACCUCCUGUAUAGCAGGGUCAAUAACAUUUACCGAGAAAACAGAGCCAACAUUUGAAUCGGAUGGAUAUUUCAUGGUCUCAAAGAUGUUAAAGUGAACAAUCUCACCAUCAAAUUCCAUAGACAAAAUACCCUUAUUAACAUCAAUUUUGGUUCGGGCUGUGCUCAAAAAGGGUCUACCUAACAAUAGAGGUGACGGACCACGGGAGUGUUCAUCCUCCAUGUCGAGCACAUAAAAAUCAGCUGGAAAAACCAAUUCAUUAAUUUUUACCAAAACAUCUUCAAUCAACCCGUCAGGGUAUGCAUUGGUCCUGUCAGCUAAUUGGAUUAUUAUCCCAAUUUCUUUCAAAGGGCCUAAGUUCAAAGAAGCAUAAAUAGAUUUCGGCAUGACAUUAAUCGAUGCUCCUAGAUCUAACAUGGCCUUUCCAAUCAAAAUAUUACCUAUCCUACAAGGAAUAGUAAACAUACCUGGAUCUCCGCAUUUCGGUGGAAGCUUUCUUUGUAGAAUUGCUGAAACAUUCUCCCCAACUAUAACUCGUUCAUCUCCCUUCAAUCGCUUGCGGUUGGCACACAGGUCCCUCAAAAAUUUUGCGUACCUGGGUACUUGUUUAAUCGCAUCCAGCAGGGGUAUGUUGAUCUCCACCUUGCGAAAGAUCUCCAAGAUCUCUUUUUCCUUGUCUUGCUUCUUUGGUUUCUCUAACCUGCUAGGAAAGGGAGGUGGAUUAGUUUUAGCUGUAGGAAUUGGGUUCGAGGGUACCUUUGCAUUUUUGUUGUCUCUGCCCUCCUCUUCCAAAUCUUUCUCAAUCCGUUCCUCGUCCUUGUCUUUAGGAAUCACCGGUUCGGGUCCUUGAACUUCCUUGCCACUCCUCAAGGUCAUUGCGCUUACAUUCUUUGGAUUUGCCUCAGGUUGAGAUGGCAACUUUCCUUGAACUUGGGACUCCAAACGAUUGAUUGUUAUAGCCAUUUGAUUCAUUUGAUUUUGCAAUGAUUGCACCUGUCCCAAUUGAUUUCUCAUGCUUUGCAAGUCUGAAUCCGUCUUUUGUUGAUUAGCAAGUAAUUGCUUCAUCAUCUCUUCCAUGGACGGACUUGAAUUUGAAGGGGGUGGUGGUGGUGGGCGAGGAUGGUACUGCUGUUGGUGUCCUUGCUGUCUAUUUGGCACAAAGUUAGACUGCCUAUUUCCUCCAUAGCUAAGGUUGGGGUGAUCCCUCCAACCAGGAUUGUAGGUGUUUGAGUAUGGAUCAUACGGCUUUCUUGGCGUGGGCGCGUGGCCAGCCAUGUUCACCUGUUCUGCAGUUUCUUCUUGAACCAGUGGACACAUUUCCGUAGGAUGACCUACGGCAGUGCACACCCCACACACUUUGGCUUGCGAGGCACUUCCCACAGCUAAUUGUCUGACGAAAGAUGUUAAUUCGGAGAUCUGCUGUUGGAUAGAGGACGUUUCUACCUUAUUCACCCUACGCGUCGGGAUGUCCUCUCUUGAACCAAACUGCUGUGAGUUCUCAGCCAUUCCUUCAAUCAGCUCCCAUGCUCCUCGAGGAGUUUUGUUCACCAACGCCCCUCCACUUGCAGCAUCGAUUAUGCUUCUGUCCCUGAAAAGCAACCCUUCAUAGAAAUAUUGAAUGAGCAGUUGCUCACUUAUCUGAUGCUGAGGGCAUUUGGUGCAUAGUUUCUUAAACCUCUCCCAGUACUCAUAGAGUGACUCGCCUGGGUGUUGUUUGAUGCCACAUAUCUCCUUCCUUAGACUUGCAGCUCGAGAUGCCGGAAAGUAUUUGUCCAGAAAUUUUUUCUUCAAUUGAUCCCACGUGGUGAUACUACCAGGCGGUAGGUAGUAGAGCCAGUCUUUUGCGGAGUCCUUCAAAGAGAAGGGGAAAGCCCUCAUCUUUAUUUGCUCUUCUGUAAUUCCCGGAGGCUUCAUACUGUUGCAAACGACGUCAAACUCUUGCAAGUGCUUGUAGGGCUCCUCACCUGGUAGACCAUGGAAAGAUGGCAAGAGAUGAAUUAAACCAGAUUUUAGUUCAAAGGGAGUGUCAUCAUUUAAAUUUGGAAAAGUAAUGCACAAGGGCUGCUGAUUUAAAUCAGGAGCAGCCAACUCCCUUAAUGUUCGUGUAUUUGCCAUAGUGACUUCCUCUUGGUCUGAAUCACUCGAAUUGUCACCAGACAAAUUUAUCGGCUCAACCUCUGGAUCUAGUCCCUGAGGUGCAAUACCGUAUUGCUCUUCUCUGAGCCGCCUGGUUUCUUUCCUCGUUCUACGCGCGGUCUUCUCUACUUCAGGGUCGAAAACUAAUUCGCCUGUACGAGAAGAGCGAGGCAUAAACUAGAAAAAAAUACCAGAAAAUUAGAACAAAAAUGAACUUAAAAAGAAACAAAUAAUUAACGCCAAUCCCCGACAACGGCGCCAAAAAUUGACAGGUGUCGAGCCUGUGCAAUAAUAAAUAUCUACUCGAGAAAAAUGAAUUUUCUGUGUAUAGUAGUGAGUAGGGUCGAAUCCACAGGGAUUGGAAAAAAUUCGAUUCUUUUCAAGUUCGGGACACGGGGGAUUUUUAUCAGAUAAAACUAAAAAUAAAUAAUUAAACAAUUUAACUAAAAAUAAUUAAACAAUUUAACCAAAGAUAAAUAAUUAAUUAAUACAAUUGUAAAUAGCAAUUAAAUAAAUGAUAAAUAAAUUCUAGCCAAGGAUACAACUACGCAGACACAGUCCAUUCAUCCGAUCAUUGAUGCAAAGAAGGUUCACUUAAUUUAAUUAAUAGGCUAGUUAUAGUCGCCGAUAAACUCUAACGACCAGUUUUUCCUUAAUUUAUUGAUAACCAAGGUACGACCAUUGAUUACCCCUAACCAGGAAAUACUCCUAGGUACGACCGUAGGAAUUAAUUUCCUAAUUGCAUUAAAAACUAGAAAAGCCUAAUCCAAAUUAAUAACACGCUACGAGGGUUAUUUAAAUCAGAUUGCAUGUUCUCCUAGUAUGUGAAAAUACUAGUUGUCACUAAUAUUAACCAACUAAACAAUUAAGGAUUUAAUUGAUUAAUUUGACAAGAGAUUAAUAAGUCAAAUUGCACAUCGGUCCCUUGAUAUCCAAUUAACAAAAUAAUCCCAUGGAAAUUAAAAUAGAAAACAUGCAAAUAUUAACAAAUUAAGGAACACGUAAAAUUAAUUAGAUCUCACAGAUAUUUGGGACUGCGUCUUCGCGUUGAUCCUUGACUAGAGGAGAAAAUUAGCCACGCCUCAUAAGAAAAUUCCCACGCAAUUUAAUUGAACUCAAAGACAUUUAUCUCUUACUAAUAAUUAAAAAUAAGAAUUGUAUUCUCUGUAGUCUAAUACAAUAAAAAUAGUCUCAUGGAAGAGACGGAAGAAAACAAGACACACGAGAAAUCUUCACCCCCAAAACUAAAAACUUCUCUUCCCAGACAGAAGAGAAGAAGAAAAACUGAUUCUGUAAAAUGUCCGGCCCUCUCUCAUUCUCCUCUGCACUAGUUUUAUAUGAGAACUAGUUACGUAGGAAGCAAAUAGAAAAGCUACUUUCAUCAUCAAAGUCCACCUAUGGCUAAUGAGUACAUCUCCCAAAAGAAGAACACAUUUUCUAAAUCAAUGUUACGUGGUCCCUGCAGAAUUCUCUCCUUUUGACUUCUUAUUGCUAGUGGACUUGUCAGGACUUAAUAAUAGGAAGGCAACUCUUCAUCAGCAAUUCCGUUGGUUUGCACAAUUUGGGCUGAUUGUGGAAAGCUUUUAGAAGCUUUCACGUGUGGAGAGAUCUUCUCAAGAAGGUUCCCUUUUAGCACUUUUCUGCUCCACUUUCUGAAAUUAUAUCCAAAUACCAAAUAUAAAUAUAUAUUGACAAUUAAAGCAAUAUUUGGCAAGGAUAAAGAGGAGAAUUAACAAUAAAAUUACUAACAAUUAACAUCCUAUCAGUAAUGUAUCAGUAAACUGGCAUUUUACUGUAUCAGUAAUCUUCCAUGUUUUAAUGCUUCUUUUGAAAUGCAAUGUAAGGUUAUUCCCUGUUUUCUCCAGUAUUAUCUUCUUGAAGAAUUUAUCGGUCUUUGCUACAACUAUUUCUGCAGCAAUGGAUAAGUUUUAGUUGCUUUCAAUUACUUUGUGAAAUUACGUCAGAAGCCACGGGUGAUGAAUCCAAAAAGAUAUAGCAUCAACUUACAAGGUUUCAACCUGCAAGUUAUUAGGUUUUCUGAAAAUAUAGAGAAUACCUCGCUUUUAUAGUUUGUGAUUUUACUAUCCAGUGCAGCAGCCAGGUACAUUAUCAUCAUCGUUGCCAAAUUCAUGUAAUGCAAUGGAUUUGAAGUCUUUGCAUUGUCUUGAAGUUUAAUGGACUUUUGGAUUAUCAACCUUAAUCUAUAUAGCUCAGUGAUAUUUUUCCCUCUGUCAACUGCCAUGCAUAUUCAUACUGAUAUACAAAAAAAAAAAAAAAAAAAGAGGAUUUGCAUGCAAUGUUGCAUAAAAGAAGAAUGCACCAAAAUUCAAUCACUCCCUUAAUCCACAUAUUUGACAAGGCAUAUUACCUUUAGUCACCUACGUGCAUCGCGCGUUUUAUACCUCCUAGUCUUCUCUUAAGAUGUGAAACCCAAGAUUCUGAUAUAAGAUUGGGCAUCAUAAAGAAAAUGACCACCAUCUUCAUCUCUCUAUCUCACAGUUUCACAUGCACACUGCAAGCUGCCCAACCUUGAAAAUCUUGAUUUUAUAUGAGACAGACUGUGAUUCUCAAGAUUCAAAGAUACCUGCUCAAGAUGCAACUUUGGCAACCAAAAGGGAAUUCAGAUCUGAACUAAAGUGGUAGGAAAUCCAUUUAUCAAGGUAUUUUUUUUUAUUUGCUCAUUUCCUCCACCUCCAUAAACUUUCAGCAGGUUUUCACUGAUAGAUUAGAUGAACAAUCUAGAAGCAUGAAUUGUUUCAAAGAAAAAGUUCGGAAAGAUUCUAUCAAAGAUACACAACAGGAGUAGUCAUUCAAACCAUAUGAAGUGGGUGAGCUUCAAGAAAUGAAGAAAACAUUCUAACCACAACUUUUGAAAAUUUUUUACUUUGGCUUAUUUAUGCACAUCAAAAUGUCAGAACAAGAUGGCUAAUGGUCAAGUCUAAAGCACAAGAAGGGUACAAAGUUUUCAACAAUCUACAAAAACAUUGCGUAACAAAAUCUGCCCAAAAGCUGAGAUAAGCGGGAACAAGCUCAUCUAUUAAACAUAGAAGACAAAACUUAAGCUAAGAUCCAAUCGCAAAAUUUGAGGUCAUUGGGACCUCAAGAUGACGGACAAGCAUGUCGCUCUCUCAUGUUGAAUUUGCAGAGGGCCGUUUACGCUGAUUGUGAUCAGAACUACAAGAGAACUGAAGCAAGAAAAGAAAAUCAGGAAAAUAUAGGGAAGCUGAAACUUUACAAAUAGCAGAUCCCAUACCUUACCAAAUUGAAUCACAGCUUUGGUGUGUUUCUGCAUAUAUUUAUACAUAAGUGCUUGUGCAGAAGUAUCAUACAAGAUCUGCCACGGCACAAAAAGUAUGUCUCAGUACACAAUUGUAAACUCAGCCAGACAUUGAACGAAAAAAACGUUUUAGGAACAGAGUCUGAUACGAAAAAACAAAAUGUUGACUUCCAUUGUGCUUGACAGUUCGUGUCACUGCAAUCUUGAAGCUAUAGCAUCAAAUCCAAACCAAAGCAUUGAGAAACUAGAAGAAUUGUUUUGACAAAUUUGAAUAACUUAAUUAAUGAAUUCAGUCAACAGAUAAUAUUAGUACUGUACUACUAUAUCUAACCUAAAUUGCAGAAUCCCAACCUCCGUUGACUCUCUUCUGCAUCUACCAGCACAGAAUAGAGGUGAACGGUUCACCAUUUUAACAUGUGAUAAGGAAAUCAACUCUCUCCUUCCCCUCUCAUUGUCAAGAUAACAUCCAAAUCUCAUUGCAUUUUCACUCCAUGGCUGUCUGGAUCACUCGCAAUGACAUGAGAGCGCCAAUUCUUUUAAAUUCAGGGGGAAAGUUAAAACCAAACUCACGUACAGAAAACUGAACCAAUUUGAGUGAUUCCAGUUGACUCAGAAAAUCCAGCUUGAUAAUUUUAUUGCAACUCCUCCUGAUCAUGUUCCAAAAGCGUUCCACGGUAUCUCCUCCACCAAUUUCUCACAUACAGAUCAAAAGUCUUUAUAAGUCCUACCCUGUCUAAUGUCGCUCUUUAACAUCCCUAUUUAAUUCCUUAAUAUAGCAUCAUCUGCAGGUCAUCAUUUAACAGGUUGAAGCCAACCUGAAUGGUUACUAAAGACUAGCAGAAUGCUAUUGCACUCCGCUCCUAAAUUUUUCUUCAGACAAGCAUGCUAUAUGUGUACUUACCGUGAGGAAAUUUUUGGGCUUGUGCACGAGGACUAUCUGGAGUUUAUAUUUGUAUCUUACCUUCAUCGAUCUUCAGAAACCAGAGUGUUAUUAAUUGGUGCAGGUAUUAUGUAUUAAUUAUACAAGCUUUUGACCUUUUUUGUGAGUUAUUAAAACGAAAGAUGCUGUAGUUAGUUCUUCUAAGUGUGUUACUUCGAGUUCUGAAUUGGCAACUAUCUCAAUAUCAAAUGAAUCUUAGAAGCAUAAUCAUAUGGUAGCUAGACACUACCAACUGUAAGCCUAUAAUGUUGCAGACAUUUGGGUUGAACUGUUGUCAGUUGACUGACUAUAUUAUUAUGAACUGAUGUUGUACAUUGAGGAGAUGAGUCCAUUAUCUUGAGUAAUCUAAUAAAUUUUGAUACAUAAAUGUCAAAAAAUGGGGAUGCAUUUUUAGCUGAGGGCCUGAAGGCUUUGUAACUUACAAUAAUGACAAAUUCAAAACAAACAUCUACCACCGCCUUUCUUCUAAAUUAGUAGCAGUUCUCCAUUCUCUGUUUUUUUUUUUUUGGGGGGGGGGGGGGUAAAGAUUUGGUAGUGCCGUAAGGCUGCAAUUUUGAUGAGGCAAUUCAAAAUGUGAAUUAUUUUCCAGAGCCAUUACAAUAGGAUAUCAAAUCCGUAACUUAAAAAAAAAAAAAAGGAAGAUUACUGCAGUGUAAAUAUUGAACUAAUCUAAGAUCCAUGAAGCACCAUAAAUGAACAAAAUGAACUUCAAUCAAUUUAUCGGAGAUGUCAAAGUAAAAGGUAGACAAGCCAGAAGUAAAUGGGCAUCAGAGGUUGAAAUGAGAAAGAGACAUUUUUCAUGAUUGAUGGCUAGCAUUACAAUUUCCUUCAAUCAAAACAGGAUUUUUCUUAAGACAUAGUAUGAAUAGAAAGUUCAACCAUUUCGUAGAACAUAUGCAAAAUGAGCAAAACACGGCUAAAGUCUCACAUUUUCAUUGUUCUGGAUUGCUUGACAUCAUUGCACUAGUAAUCUCUGUUAUUGGCCAUAUUGGUUGCCUAAUUUUGGUGGGCAUGGCUACAGAGAAAAGAAGGGAAAAUGGAAAACAUUAUUGUUCGGCUCAAGUUUGGGUAGUUUUAGUAAUUAGGCAACGCUAAUUCAUCAAAAUGAACUGACCUUAUGAAUUUUUGUGGAGAAUUUUGGUUUAGUUAUGGAGACUGGGGAGAAAGAUGUAAAGAAAAAGAGUGAGGGAAAAAAGUGGGGAGGUGGACAAUGUAUAAAGUUUCCAACAGACUGUAAAUUGUAUAUUAUCAUUGUAAAGUAUUUUGAACAAAUUGUAAAUAAUGAGCAUUAUCUUGUGAAUGUUGUUGUUAUCAGUAUUAUGCGAAAUUAUAUUCAUGUAACGAACAAAAACAGACACAAAUACCAUAAACAAGAACUAGAAUUUUAUCCUUCUUAUACUUCUCAAAUCUCCAUCAUGUAUUCCAAGUUAAAGACUGAGGGGUACACACUAUCCAAUUCAAUUCAGUAUAUACAGUUUUCCUUUUAAGAAAAAAAAAAACUUGCAAUUCAAAUAUUUUUCACUUGAUUACAAAUUUACAACAAUCAUUUCCACUUCAUUAACGGCAAAUGAAAUUUUUAGUGCUAUUCUUGCAAGACUUGUUCCCCUUCCUGAUGCAAUUAUUGAAGUAGGUUUCAUCAGGGAAUAACAAUGGCUACUAGUGACAACUUUUUAAGAUGAUAAUCAAGCUAGUGAGGUAUGGUCCCAGAAUCAAGGGAUUACCUGUCAAGAACAAUAUCAAAAACAGGAAGGGCAUGAAGGUUAAGUAGCUCAUGCAAAGCCUCCAGUGGGUGAUAAAAUACUAGAUGAUCCAUCCGCUGGAAAUAUUCAAUUGAAGAACCUUGACAGCAUCAUAAAUACUUGGCUGGUUAAGGCAUUUGCUGCAGGCCAGUAGUGCAUGAAGACUGUCAAGUCAUUCAUGCAUGCUGCACUACUUUGUGGUUUUAUUUAGGUUGUCCUUCUGUAUAUGUAGAACUCUGCUCCAUUGGGUGAUUGAAUCAAUCAAACAAACUAAUAGAAGAAAAAAAAUAGAGAAUUGGAGCACAUAAACCUGACAAUUGCAGGCAAAUAGCUUUGAGUAUAGUUCCAAUAUCUGUUUAACGUCAGAUGCUCAUUCUUGGAGGACCUGCAAAAAAAAAAUUGAAUUCUAUGUAUAUGCUGUUUUUGAGCUUUAUGAGGAAAUGGAACAACAGAGCAGAAAAAUAAAGCCCACGAAAACCUUAAAUUGGGAAAACUGUAAAGAUAUUUGGUAAAUCACAAAGCUAACACUAAAUUGGACCAUCUGCUCUUGAGUAUCGUCAGAAAAAAGGUAGGACUAGUACUUUUGGUCCUUCCAAAUGUCUUUCAAUUCUAAAGAUGCAAUUGUUGGAGAAGAACAGAGAGAACAUAUAUUGACUGCAAAACACCAAGCAGGUGAAGUAAAUUCCAGAUUAAAGGCUAAUGGAAGUAUGAAGAACUACCUGAACGAAUGGCUUUCAUUACAAUUUUCACAACAAAGCAUAAGAAUUAGACACGAACAAACCACUUUGGCUGUGCCAGUUUAGCAUCAAAUUAUAUUUACCCUUUGACCAUUUCAGAUCUUAUAUCAAAUGGCACAAGACAAAUUUUGACAGCAUUGAGCAUCAACUUCUUAUAUAGACAAUGACUAUCAGGCUAUCUUCCAGAUAACCCUCCUUUCCACUGACCGGCAAAAGAUGAGAGAGAGUGAAUAAGUAGAUGCUGCACAAACAUCUUUCAUAGCCAAUCCUAGAAGAGCGGAAGUUACGUGGAUAAUGCACAACUAGUAUGAGCAACUUAUAAUCAAUGAUGUAGUUCGCCUUCUGAAGUGUUAGAAAACGACUUGUACAACAAACUUAUCAAUGCACCAACGCAGAAUCAUGGUAGAGGCAUCAUGGAAUCAUUAAAUGCUAGUUUCACUUUCAGGCAUCAUUUGUCAUAGCCAUUUGCAGAGAGGUAGAGACCACUUUCCUGAGCUCACCCGUCCCAUUCCAACAAGUAUAUAUUAAUGGAUACUUCAUCAAGAUAUUCAUCCAGUUGGUACUCCUGCCUUUUGCUCAUUUCCAAUUUUCUCUAGCUGGCAGUUGAUCUAUGAGUCAGAAGUUAGGAUAUUUUUCUCUUCCAUCUAUUUCACCGUACUUUUUUCCCUUCUUGAAAGAUCUUCUCUUCCCACUUUGAUCAGCAACCAACAAAUAUUGGACCUCGAAAAAUUUGAAGUGUUGAUGCUGCUUAUUCUUUCAAAAAUGCAACAGAAUUGCUCCUAGGAUAAAUCACAACAGAUGUGCUUAAAUUAAAGUGCAGAGAUUAAAUCAAAAUGCUGCUUACAUGAUUUGUGGAAAAACUGAAAAUGGUGAUCAUCUCUUUCACUCUCUCUCUCCCCCUCACCCAACCACACACGCACACGCACUCAUUGAAACCGCCCGAGCCAAAGAAAUUGAUUCUAAAUUAGACUCGUAUUGAUAGAUUUAAGCCACUUGUUGAAGAUGCAACUUACCAACAAAUUGCAAAUGGGGCAUCAGAAUGCAUGCUAAGUCGGAUGAAGAACAUAGUAACAGUCUAAAUACUUAGAAUUUUCUGGUACUACAUCCUUUCAUCUAGUUUGAAAUUCCACCACCCCCAGGACCUUUCAGCAUCUUUUCGCUAAAUCAGUGAGAUGGGAAAACAAGAAUCCAUGAAAAUAUCUUCAAGCAAAUUAUUACUAAAGAUUAAGUACACAGAAAAUAGUAUUUAUUAGAACCAUCUAACAGGGUUCAUCUUCAUGAAAUAAAGAAUAUACUUACUUCAACAUGUUAAUUUCUUUUUGCCUACUGAUCUUGGCUUCUUUAUGCAUAUCAAGGUAUCAAAAGAAGAUGGAUAAAGCACAACUAAUUUAUAUACUUUAGAACAUACUACAAGAACAUAGUUUUUUUUUUUGUUUUAACUCUGGUAAAUGCAGACAUAAGCAGGAACAAGCUCAUGUCUCUAGACGAUAAAAAAAAAAUAGAAAGACAAAACUGAAAAAGACAGAUUCUCAUGUUUGCCAAGCCGUCAUUAACUAUAUACACAUAUUCUACCCAACAAGGUUGCAAACGCAUACAGCAUUCUUUGCAUUAAAAAAAAAAGGAAAAAGAAAGUCUCAGGUCAUUCAGCUAUUUACUUCAAGAAAAGAAACCCACUCUGCAUUACUUAAGCUGAAAUGUAUAGAAGAAAUAAAAAUGUGUACCUGACAUUUAUGCUUGUGCUCAGUUGGUUUGAAGGAUCAUACCAAUCUGUAGCCAUAUUGAAGAGGAUUUCAGAAAUUAGAUAGUUUUGAUUAUAUAAACACAUGACCAUUCAAAUCAAAGAACUGAAAACCUCCAGGAAUUGCUUUGCGAAAUAUGAAUGAUUAUAUCAUUGAACUGAUCCAACAUGUACAAUUAGUACUAUGGGAGUGGAUCUAACCUCAUGAGUGGAAUUCUUCUCUGCUUUGACUCCCUUUCUGAGUAGAUCUAAUAAUGACGCUCUUUAAGUCCUUGUUUCCCCAUUCUCUCUGUUCUUGCAGAAUUUGCUCCACAGAAUUUACAGCAGACUCACUACACCUUUUCAACUCAAUCAUUUUAAGAGUGACGCUUUCCCCUAAACAAGGAGGGACCUCUUCCAGCUCCUCACAAAACUCCAAAACCAAUUUCUCAAGACAGGAAAAAUUAUCAGAAGAGGCAGUCCACCUGCGAAUGUACAACCCUGACAAUUUCAAAAAUCGGAGGUUACAGAAUUCCCCUUCUGCCAUUUCCCAUUCUUCCUCCCGAACGGAACGAUGGCAUAAUUUAAGCACUACAAGGUUGGGCAGCUUUCUUCCAAUUGCAGAAAUUUUACUCCACGGCCAAUAAUUAUAGGAGAGAGUCAACUUUUUCAAAUUCAAAUUCAAUGAGAAUUCAAACUCAUCUCUACUCAUCCUGCUUAUCUUAAGUGAUUCUAGUCGACUCAUGUAGUUCAGCAUGAGAAUCUCCCCGUGAUUUCCACCAGAUUCGAUUGCUCGGUAACUUUCGUAUGUCGCUAUUGUUAGCCUGCGGGUGCUCUGUAACUUUGACAGUAUCUUUUGUGCACUUUGAGAAUAGGGAUUCAUUGCAAGACUUAAAGUGUCUAAAUGUUUUAAAUCAGGGGAGCCUUCAAGAUUGUCCUUGGGAAAUAUGAAACCACAGGCGGGCAAUGAUGUGACAAGAUGCCUCAAUGUUUCAAUGUUCCAGAUAGUGUUUGGUAACACAUAAUCUUCAGCGCGUGCUUCUACUACAAAAGUUUCUAACCUUGAGAGGUUGGCUAUUGCAGAUGGGAUAUCCCCAGCAAACCUUCCAAUUCUCAAGUACCUCAAGUGAACGAGGAAUACUACUUCCCUUGGAAAAUAUGAAGUCGGAUAAGAAUUGUUCCAGAAAUCCAGCACUCUAAGAAGUUUAGACAGCAGAAAUUUGAAUGAAUUCUUAUCCAGCUGUGUAUGACUAUCACCACAGAAGAGCAAACAACGCAAAUUGGGAGAAAACAGUCUUGAUUUUGUAGGCCCCAUAGUCAUGGUGGGGUGAAUAGACAAUCGAUGGAGGUUACAUGGUCCAGUAAAAGUUAAAAGGUUACCCACAUGUAAAAUCUGUAGAAAACUUUCUUCUUUAGCUUUCGCCACGCAAAACUCAUGUACCAAAUCAUGGAUUCGGCAAGCUUUGAUCCCACCUGAAGAUCUUUGUUGGGUAGCCAUAACUAAACUUCUCCUAACCAGAUCCAUCAAAUAGUCAUCUGCCACAUCCUCUAAGCUCUUUCCUUCAGUCUUUUGCACGAAUCCUUCAGAGAUCCAAAUCCAUAACAACCUUCGGAUAGGAAUUUCUUGGUCUUCUUGAAAUGCACCGAAGUAAAGAAGGCAUGGUUUCAAAUAAUCUGGUAAAUUAUUGUAACUUAAUUCAAUUGUCUUCAUGCAAUAUUCAUUGUCAACAAAAAUGCUGGAAGUUAAAUGUUUUACAACUUCUUCCCAGCAAUCUUGCUCAGUAGUAGCAAGAAUUCCGGCAACAAGGACAACUGUGAGAGGUAGGCCUUUACAGUUUUUUGCUGCAUGCAGUAAAACAUUACUUAAUAUUGGAGGACAAUCUUCUUUGGCAAAUAGCUUUUUCUGCAGCAAUUCGCAGCUUUCAUUAUCUGUAAGUGGGCGAAGAUGGUGAGGCUCACUAUCAAGUUUAAUUUGCAAUGACAAUUCCUGCAAUCUACUGGUUAAGAGAAUCCUGCUUCCAUUGCAAUCAUCUGGCAGUGAGAGUUUCAAUAAAUCCCAACCCCGAAUGUCCCAAACAUCAUCCAGAACUAUGAGAUACCUAUUUCCCUUCAACAAUUUGCGUAGCCUGUUAGCCAUGUAAUCUUCAUCUCUCCGAAGAUAUCCAGCUGAGUUCCCACAAUCGAUAUUACACAACAUUUGAACUAACAAACUAUGCUUGGUAUAUGCUCGAGAAAAACAACACCAAGAACGAAUGUGAAAGUGGGACUUUACCAAUGGAUCACCAUAAACUUUAUUGGCUAAUGUUGUCUUACCAAGACCAGGCAUACCCACAAUGGCAACAAUAUCCAACCGGCUUGGUCCCCUUACAAGUCCAUCAAUUAUAAUUUCCCCCUCAUCAUUGAGACCCACCACAGCUUCAUUAAAUAUUGGAGCAGUAACUUGUGAUGGCAUGUGAAUUGUAGUCUUGACAAUACUCUGGGUUUCACAGUCAAAUCGUAUGUUAUCAUAAAUCUCUUUGGCCUCAAUCUUCAUAAGCUUGAUAUCUCCAGCAAUAACAUCCAAACAAUGUUGAUGUUUGCCACCAAGUAGUGUAGAGUCAAUGAUUAUUUCUGCCCUGUAUGCCAGCUCACUAAUACGACUCCAAAGAGCUUGGAGUUUUUCAUUCCCCUUCCGCUGCUCUGCAAUCUUGCCUAGGAAAGGUCUUAAGAAAUCAAGAUCUUCACGAACUGUGUGGAUUUGAUUAUUUGGGAAAGCAAUUGAAUUAGCUGUAGAACUUUCAAGUUCCUCGAGAGUUUCUAAAAGAAAAUCAAUAGAGCCCAGCUCAUUAGUCCUAGGGAAACUAAUUGAUGAUGAUGGUGGUUGUUGUGGACAAAUCUGUUCAAUUUCUGGAAUAAUGAGCUUGAGCAGUUCGAGCAUAUGAGAAGCCACAAGAUCUAUUUCCUUGGGCAAGCUUUCUGUCAUUUCACUCUUAUAAAGGGAGAAAAUCACAAUUCCAGCAUCACAGAGUACAAAUCCAAUACGAUCCUUCAUUUCAUCAUUUAGCUUAUCGAAUUUCUCGUGCUGCUGGCUGAGAAGGACACUCAGGAAUCUUGCUCCCUCAUAAAGUUUUAGUAAUUGAUCCUUCACCGGAACCAAGAAACUGGUGUAAGAUUCUGUUAGCUCCAUAAUAAUAUGUAAAAGAUCAUCAAUAAAUUCGGCCACUAGGUGCUUAUUCUUCUCCAGGGCUAAAGUGUGUGAUGAUGGUGACAACUUGGACGCUGUCAAGACGUGGAUAUAAGUUUCUCGGACUUGGAGAUCAACGGGAUCAAUCUUCUUUUGUA
rnacentral:lncRNA from 1 species